rnacentral:lncRNA from 1 species
AGCACCGGCAGCAGCGGCACCGAGCUCGCCGAGCUGCUGGAGGUGCUUGUGGUGCUUCUCCUCCUUCCUGUAAUCGACCGUAGGCUCCGUGAAGAUGACCCCAGGCUCUGUGAAGGCAUCAUCCUUCUUGUGGUGGCUGCGGUGGUGGUUGUGGUGGUGGUGAUGGUGGUGUCCUUCGGCCAUGGUUGGUGGUUGUUUUUUUUUUUGAGGAAUACUAGAAUUGACGAAGGAUCAGUGAAAGGACUAUAGCUGAAGUGUAUGGUAUGCGUUGUGAGACCGUUAGAGAGGGAGGGGUGUAUUUAUAGGGAAAGUUGGCACAUGCAAAGUCUCGCAUCCAAUCGGGCCAACGCGGGAGGCCUUAAACGCGUGAUGGACGGUCGGGAUUGCUUAGUCUGGUUCUGCUCGAUGCAUUUUUGUCUUCUUUCGAUAAAGCAGUUGGUUGUAUGUCAAAUAAAAGCAAAAAUAAAAUAAAAUUAGGGGAUGAUCUUUUUCUUUUUUCUUUUUUUUGGGGGGUUCUAGUUGAGGGAUUUUUGGGAGGACAAAUUCAUUAGAGAACAAUGCUCUAACAAUACCAUAUACUUGACAAUGAUGUUUUUAUCGUUUCCCUUUGAUUUGUCUGAUGAUAAUUUCUUAGUCUUGAGCGUGAAUUGCAAGAUUUGUUUAGUAAUGUAAUUGUAAGGGUCCAAAGUCUAAGAUGAGACUUUUUGGUGGAGGUGGGUGGUUUUAACUUAUUGAUUAAGUAAUCGCAUCACAUGAAUGCNNNNNNNNNNNNNNNNNNNNNNNNNNNNNNNNNNNNNNNNNNNNNNNNNNNNNNNNNNNNNNNNNNNNNNNNNNNNNNNNNNNNNNNNNNNNNNNNNNNNAAGAGGCUAGACUCAAGCAUAUAAAUUAAUAGUCAUUAAUGUAUGUAGAACUUAGAAGCUAUUAAAAUUGAAACAAUAUUUACCAAUGCUUUUGCUCGUCUCAAAGUGCCUUGAUUCAAGUUUUAAUGUUUGGGAAAUGACAAAAUCUUUAUGACAAAACAGAGUGUUGUUGAUAUUGAAUGCAUGCUAAUCUUUUAGGUUGAACAAGUUAGUCUUGAAAACGGGCUACAUCAAAGAGAGAGAGAAAGAAAGAAAGAAAGGAGCUAUUUCCCUCCAAUGAUGGUAAUUUUAUUGACAACUUCUAUAUGAUGUAAGAGAUAUAACUUUUGUGGAAUUAAAGACACUAUAUUGAACCUUUUUCAGGAUAUAUAAAUGGGCAAGCCAUCAUAUAUCGCUUGAUUUGGGACAAUAUAGAUUAUUAAUUAUGUCAUUUUGUGAGUUCAUUUCAAAUUGGGUUAAUUGACUCAACCAUAUUUGAAAGAACUAACUUGGAAAAAAAAUCACGAUAAUGGACGAUGAUAAUGACAUGCACCUAACACAUAGAUCCCACCAAAUUAGUAGAAACUGUCAAUGUGCUUAGUGAGGUUACGAUGAAGAUAUCGCAAUGCACUAUUAUUUGAUAAAUUUGCUAAUUUGUACGUGUCCUCAUGGGAGGACCCAAAACAUCAAUUCUUAGAAACGCUUAUAUACUAUUAUAUCAUGUACUGCUUUUUUACGUACUUUUUGAAUUAUAAUUAUAUAUAACAUUGCGAUCAAGUGAUUUUUUUGAAUUUGACGCCAUCGCGUUUUAGUUAAUUGACAAUGACUGACCGGGUGUGGAUCCAUCGUAUGCGGAGACUGUGUGCUAAUGGGUGAAAAUAAUAUUAAAUAUAAUCAUUGUACCUAAAACAAUAUGUGGAAAUGUAAACGCAAGAAAUCAGAUCAUCAGAACAACCAAGAUACAACCUGUACAAGACAAAGCCCGAACCCAUGCUCAUCCUCUCAGGGAAGCAUUCACAAGCAGCAGAAUUCAAGAUUCAAGAACCACCCUCCGCAAAUGUACAGCGUGUCAGCGACUAUUGAAGGCAGUCUCUAAGGAAAUAAAAUUACAUAAACAAGACAGAUAGCAGCAAAAAGAGAUGGAGAUCCUCCAUGGUUUAGAAGUGAUGGUGGUGCUUCUUGCCAUGAUGAGACUCUUUAUAUUUUUUCUUGGCCUCCUUCCUCUCGUGGUGCUCGUGGGUGGCAAACCCGACAGCCCCGACGGCAGCGGCGGCAGCUAUUUCCUCCUUUAUCUUGUGCCGGUGAGCGUGCUCCGGGUCCUUCUUGGCCUUAUGCUUCUCAUGCUGCAUUUUGCACAUUAUUAAUCAGCAAUGGCGUUCACGAAACAAAAUGAGUUAAGGUAAAGAGGAAAGGAGCCAAAAAAAAAAAAAAUCUCUAUUAUGUAUACUUUGUUUAAUACAAGCUCUAAGCAUGGGAUAAGUUCGAGAAAAAAGAAAUUAAUUUAUUCACCUUGAAAAGAAGUAUUUGAUCAGGUAAAUAGUGCUAUGGAUUACAAUUAUGUUUUUUGUUAUUGUAGGGAAAUCUUACUCCUCUAGCUGUUGGGUGAAGGAAAUCAAUUAAAUUCAAACUAUUGUUCAUUUAUAAGGAUGAUCCAUUCUCACAUGGCAUGCCAUUAUCAUGUCGAGUUGAAAUAUGUGACUUUAAUCGAGAUCUUUUGCAUUCAAUGCUCGUUAAUAACCCGAUGAUUCAGGUCAAUAAGGUGAAAACACAAAUUUUAUCCAAAUUAUAAAAUGGGAAAAUAAUUGAAAAGAAUUGAAAAGAAGAUGAUAAUUAUUACCAAGGCAUAAGCACCGGCAGCAGCGGCACCGAGCUCGCCGAGCUGCUGGAGGUGCUUGUGGUGCUUCUCCUCCUUCCUGUAAUCGACCGUAGGCUCCGUGAAGAUGACCCCAGGCUCUGUGAAGGCAUCAUCCUUCUUGUGGUGGCUGCGGUGGUGGUUGUGGUGGUGGUGAUGGUGGUGUCCUUCGGCCAUGGUUGGUGGUUGUUUUUUUUUUUGAGGAAUACUAGAAUUGACGAAGGAUCAGUGAAAGGACUAUAGCUGAAGUGUAUGGUAUGCGUUGUGAGACCGUUAGAGAGGGAGGGGUGUAUUUAUAGGGAAAGUUGGCACAUGCAAAGUCUCGCAUCCAAUCGGGCCAACGCGGGAGGCCUUAAACGCGUGAUGGACGGUCGGGAUUGCUUAGUCUGGUUCUGCUCGAUGCAUUUUUGUCUUCUUUCGAUAAAGCAGUUGGUUGUAUGUCAAAUAAAAGCAAAAAUAAAAUAAAAUUAGGGGAUGAUCUUUUUCUUUUUUCUUUUUUUUGGGGGGUUCUAGUUGAGGGAUUUUUGGGAGGACAAAUUCAUUAGAGAACAAUGCUCUAACAAUACCAUAUACUUGACAAUGAUGUUUUUAUCGUUUCCCUUUGAUUUGUCUGAUGAUAAUUUCUUAGUCUUGAGCGUGAAUUGCAAGAUUUGUUUAGUAAUGUAAUUGUAAGGGUCCAAAGUCUAAGAUGAGACCUUUUGGUGGAGGUGGGUGGUUUUAACUUAUUGAUUAAGUAAUCGCAUCACAUGAAUGUGCUCUAUGGGUCGUCCCGUGGUUUCAUACCGACUCGUUUUUGCAAAAGUGAUUGUCUCUUUUUUUAUGCUUUAAGAAUAAGAGAAUACGUUAAUUUUUCCAUCACCGUACUUCCGUUUUUCUUUUGUUUUCUUUUCCUACUAUACUCUUAGAUUGUUUGUAAGAGGCAUGGCAUUAUAUCCCUAUUAAUUUUCAAGGGACGAAACCCGAAUUUAAUUAAAUAGUAGAACUAGUUCGUAUAUGCUCCAUCAAUGCAUUUAGUGGAACCCCUUCAUUUUAGAAUUGGUUGACAUACCUAUAUACAUAUAAAAUUAAUGGGGUAGUUAUUAUCGGGUGUCAAUUAGAAGGUAGACAUCAAUAAAACAUAUAUAAAUGAAUAAAGAAGUAAAAUUAAAAAUUCAAGGACUAUAUCACCCAUUGCAUAUUAUCCGAAGCAUCCAAGUACUAACACUCUUUGCCUAUGAUUUGAAAGCAGGCUGUACAUCUUUAUUUCCAGUGGUAAAUAUCAAAGCUCGUUUGAGAUGACGCCCUUUUUGGCCUUGGUUCUCUCAUACUUUGAAUGCAUGUCUCCACCCAUAUAUACUUUGAAAAACAACCGUAUCAAGACUUUCCAUUGUUUCUAUAGGAUUCCAAACACCAUUAUCUACGACCAAAAUCAAGACUGGGCAUGUUCUAACCAGGUUGGCAAGACCAAUAAAAAAAAAAAACCAAGAAAGAAUUGAAAUUCAAGCGCAACUCGAAGAUCUCCGGAAGCUUCGAAGGUUGCCAUGGAGGAAAGGCAAUUGGCUAUGGCUCGCCUCAGCAGCUCGGGCAGCUUCUUCAUUGAGGACGAUCUUGACCUCGAAACGCCCCAAAGUUACUGGUCCCGUUAUCACCGGCGCCGAAUUGCCGGUGUCUCGAGAUGCUAAUAUGGUCGUAGGAUGCAUGGUUGAAAGCCCGACAUGUCUAGCUUCGAUGAAUCAAGUUUCCCUGCAAUUUGGAAGUCCUUUGAAGGAAAUUAUGACCGAAGUACCAAGAGGAGGAAAUCUGGGAUAUUGUUAAGUUUCGGUAUAGUACGAUGCAGGCUAAGCCAGUGGUACGGCCAGGCAUGAGUAGUCUAUUCGCAGCGUGGUCGGGCUGGUAGGACGGCCAUGUUGCGGGCUGGUUGCAUGAAUUUAUUGGCAUAAAUACUACCAUUAUCUUUUCAUAAUGAAAUACACAGAUAAUGAUUUCAAGUUCUUAUUUCAAAUCAAUUUUACAAAGUACAGUCGAAUUAUGAGGACAAAUUAUAUAAAAAGUCAUAAAUUUAUUGCAUUUUGAUCAAUUCAAUUACAAUCAUUUUAAUUGUGUGAAUUGAGUUCUAAACAUUUUUAUAUGUUACCAAUUAAGUUUAUCCGGCUAAAUUUAAUCGGAAAUAACUAACAUGGACACCAAUAAUGCUAUAUAGAACGGUUGGGGUUGAUGUGACCAAUUUUUUUAUAAUUUUUCUACUUUGUUUAUUUUUCCUUUUUUUCCUACCAAGUCCGACAAGGAUCGCCAACUAACCCUUGCCAGCCAAAAGGCAAGGGCUGGGCGACCCCUAUUGGCGGCUGGGUGAGGGCUUCAUGGUUGGCAAGGAUUGGCCAGCAGCUCUUUUGUUAGGCUUAGGAGGGAGAAAAAAAAGAAAAAAACAAAGAAAGUUGAUCGAUUAAUACAUAUACAUGGAUGCCUGUGUGAAUUAUGCGAAACCAAGAGGCUGUUUUGUUUGACGUUCACCAAAUUAGUCAUAUUCAACUUUCUUUUUAACCAAAAUAAAAGAACCUUCCAAUAUCUUAUAAAAACUUUUGAAAGAUUUGAGGUGACGUAUGGUGACAUGAAGAUUUUUCUAAAAAAAAAUUGAACGCGUUUUGACAUUACAAUUCCAUGUUUUUGUCUUCUAUGGUUUUAUCAGGGGCACGUGCACUCCUCUUGAAUUCGCGUGUCGGUUUUUGGUGCCUUCGCGUUCGCAUGUAAAAUGCAUACUCGGAUGACGGCGAGUCUUCGCCGCGUCGGCGACUUCGUCUUUGUCAACAAAACCAAAAUGAACUUUCCGACGAUGGCGUGUCUUCGCCUCGUCCGCCUUAGCGCGUGGUCCAUACCGUGUGAUAAUGCUCUCAUCGUCACGAGAAUUCGGUCAGCAUCGACUUCUUCACCUAUUCCCAAGUUGCAGCAGCAUGACACGACGAAAUCCUUGCGUGGCGCAGCCUUCUCCGGCAUUGCAUGGCUAGAGUACCGCCUGACGCACACGUCGAAUCGGAAGCUAAUGGGAUCUACACAUAAGAAAACGUUCGAUCAUCUGUCGCAUCCUAGCGGGAGAAGACUAAAUCCGAUCAAGCCAGGAGAGUAUAGAGUUUAUGUGGCUACGCAAAAUUGCAAGAUUUUGAAAUACAAAGCUCCUUUUUUCAUGACCUAACGAUAGAGUUGUCUUGCAUGGAGAGGCACAUGGCCAGUUGCCGCGUCAGCGAUCUCCUAUGAAAAAAUCGAAAGAAUUAUAUUAAAAUUUCCUGUAAAGACUUAGGAUUACAUUAGCAAAAAUUUAAAAGUUUUAGAAUUGAUUUGACUUCCAUACAAAAUAUGUAGGUGUAAUUAAGUAAUUUUUCAGGUUCAUUUGAGACAAAUUGAAGGUUAUAAUUGAAAUUGGUCAUUACCAACAAAUCGAUCCGACGAGUGAAGGAAAGGAGAAUUUUGAGACUAAAAGGGAGAUUAAUUGGAGGAGGAGCAUUCCUUUUUUGGGCUUUUGGAGGCCCACUAGCAAAGCCCUGCUGGCCCAACAGCCACCGGUCAAGAAUAUGGGCCCAAAGUUUCGGCCUUUGGGCCCAUAUAAUUCGAUUUGGGCUGAGCCUUUUACCAGGCCAUCUCGAGAGAAGAUGGGCCUGAUCGAAAUAGCCCAACCCAGCCCAGCCCAAUUGCCACUCCUUCCUCAUUAUGUAAGUCGAUAUGUGAGGUAAGCAUGGAAUCAUCUAAUUUAGUGAAAAUUCAACCAUUAACUUUAUUUCUAUUUUUUUUUUUGGCUGAAGUUUUUGGAUCUAUAUUAUUAAACCCAAAGUGUCAUUUAUAUUCCUAUGAGAAUCCCUCCAAGGCCCGUAGUUUGGGCCUUAGGGCCCAAGUAAGUUGAUUGUGUCGGGCCUACCUGGCCUAGCCCAAUUGUCACCGCCUCCUCAUUAUGUAAGUCGAUAUAUUAGGGCCCAAAUAAGUUGAUUGUGUCAGGCCUACUUGGCCUAGCCCAAUUGUCACCGCCUCCUCAUUAUGUAAGUCGAUAUAUUAGGUAAGCACAUAUUCACCUAAUUCAAUGAAAAUCCAACCAUUAACUUUAUUACUCUUUUUUUUAUGGGGGGCUGAAGUUAUUGGAUCUAUAUUAUUAAACCCAAAUUGUCAUUUAUAUUCCUACGAGAAUCCCUCCGUGGCCCGGAGUUUGGGCCUUAGGGCCCAAAUAAGUUGAUUGUGCCGGUUCGACCAAGCCCAACCCAAUUGCCACCGCCUCCUCAUUAUGUAAGUCGAUAUAUUAGGUAAGCACGGAAUCACCUAAUUCAAUGAAAAUCCAACCAUUAACUUUAUUACUCUUUUGGGGGGGAGGGGGGUUGAAGUUAUUGGUCUAAUUGUUACUAUGUGGAUAACUUUUAAUAAUAUUUUAAUAAUUUUGAAUAUUUUCUUUUUCUUUUUUCUUUUUUUCUUCCUCUCCUCCGACCGGCGAGGUCGACCACGCUGGCCACCAUGCCAGUGGCUGCAAAGUCGACCUCACCGACCGCCUUACUAGUGGCCGCGAGGGUAGCCUCGCGCUGUGUGGCGAGGGUCAAGCCUUGCCUAUAGCCAGCGAGGGUCAACCUUGACAACGCCGCCCAGAUUCGGUGAGGGCAAGCCUCGCUGGCAUUGCCCAAGCCACGAUUCGAUGACGUCGAGCCUCGCCAGCUCGACGCUAGGUCGCCAAAUUCGAUGAGGUCCGGCGAGGUCAACCUCGCCGGUUGUCGCCUCUAGCCAUUCAUCGAGGUUCAGCAAUUGGCUGCAGGAGGGGUAGAAAAAAAGAUAAAAAUAAAAAAUUCAAAAAUUCAAAAAUUUUAAAAUAUUAUUAAUAGUUGUUCACGUCAGCAUUGAUCAGGCUACAUCAGCUGGCCGGCGUCCAGUUAGUAAAAUCCGACCAAAAUUGGCCGGAAAAGACUAAAUCAGUACUAAGUAAAAAUGUUUAGGACUAAAUUGACACAAAAUACAAAAUGUUUAUGAUUUUUUUAACACUUUUCCCUAUAUUGCUUGAUCUGGGACAAUAUAGAUUACUAAUAAUGUCAUUUUGUGAGUUCAUUUCAAACCGAAUCGCAGUUAAUUGACUCAUCCAUAUUUGAAAGAACUAACUUGGAAAAAAAUCACGAUAAUGGACGAUGAUAAUGACAUGCACCUAGCACAUAGAGCCCACCAAAUUAGUAGAAAAUGUCAAUGUGCUCAGUGACGUCACGAUGAAGAUAUCGCAAUGGACUAUUAUUAGAUAAAUUUGCUAAUUUGUACGUGUCCUCACGGGAGGACUCAAAACAUCAAUUCUAAGAAGCUCUUAUAUACUUUUACGUCAUGUACAGCUUUUUUAUGUACUUUUUGAAUUAUAAUCAUAUAUAACAUUGCGAUGAAGUGAUUUUUUUUUGAAUUUGACGCCAUCGCGUUUUAGUUAAUUGACAUUGACUAACCGGGUGUGGAUCCAUCCUAUGCGAAGACUAUGUGCUAACUGGUUUUGGAAAAUAAUAUUCAAUAUAAUCAUUGUACCUAAAACAAUAUGUGGAAAUGUAAACGCAAGAACCACCCUCCGCAAAUGUACAGCGACUAUUGAAGGCAGUCUCUAAGGAAAUAAAAUUACAUAAACAAGACAGAUAGCAGCAAAAAGAGACGGAGAUCCUCCAUGGUUUAGAAGUGAUGGUGGUGUUUCUUGCCAUGAUGAGACUCUUCAUAUUUUUUCUUGGCCUCCUUCCUCUCGUGGUGCUCGUGGAAGGCGAACCCGACAGCCCCGACGGCAGCGGCGGCAGCUAUUUCCUCCUUUAUCUUGUGCCGGUGAGCGUGCUCCGGGUCCUUCUUGGCCUUAUGCUUCUCAUGCUGCAUUUUGCACAUUAUAAUCAGCAAUGGCGUGCACGAAACAAAAUGAGUUAAGGGAAAGAGGAAAGGAGCCAAAAAAAAAAGUUCUGUACUAUGUAUACUUUUUUUUUAUACAAGCUCUGAGCAUGGGAUAAGUUCGAGAAAAAAGAAAUUAAUUUAUUCACCUUGAAAAGAAGUAUUUGAUCAUGUAAAUAGUGCUAUGGAUUACAAUUAUGUUUUUUGUUAUUGUAGGGAAAUCUUAUUCCUCCAGCUGUUGGGUGAAGGAAAUCAAUUAAAUUCAAACUAGUGUUCAUUUAUAAGAAUGAUCCAUUCUCGCAUGGCAUGCCAUUAUCAUGUCGAGUUGAAAUAUGUGAGUUUAAUCGAGAUCUUUUGCAUCCAAUGCUCGUUAAUAACCUGAUGAUUCAGGUCAAUAAGGUGAAAACGCAAAUUUUAUCUAAAUUAUAAAAUGGAAAAAUAAUUGAAAAGAAUUGAAAAGAAUAUGAUAAUUAUUACCAAGGCAUAAGCACCGGCAGCAGCGCACCGAGCUCGCCGAGCUGCUGGAGGUGCUUGUGGUGCUUCUCCUCCUUCCUGUAAUUGACCGUAGGCUCCAUGAAGGCAUCAUCCUUCUUGUGGUGGCUGCGGUGGAGGUUGUGGUGGUGGUGGUGGUGGUGUCCUUCGGCCAUGGUUGGUGGUUGUUUUUUUUUUAGGAACACUAGAAUUGACGAAGGAUCAGGGAAAGGACUAUAGCUGAAGUGUAUGAUAUGCGUUGUGAGAACGUUAGAGAGGGAGGGGCGUAUUUAUAGGGAAAGUUGGCACAUGCAAAGUCUCGCAUCCAAUCGGGCCAACGCGGGAGGCCUUAAACGCGUGAUGGACGGUCGGGAUUGCUUAGUCUGGUUCUGCUCGAUGCAUUUUUGUCUUCUUUCGAUAAAGCAGUUGUUCGUAUGUCAAACAAAAAAAAAAAAGAAAUUAGGGGAUGACCUUUCUUUUUCUUUUUUUUUUGGGGGGGAGGGGGGGUUCUAGUUGAGGGAUUUUUGGGAGUAUAAAUUCAUUAGAGAACAAUGCUCUAACAAUACCAUAUACUUGACAAUGAUGUUUUUAUCGUUUCCCUUUGAUUUGUCUGAUGAUAAUUUCUUAGUCUUGAGCUUGAAUUGCAAGAUUUGUUUAAUAAUGUAAUUGUAGGGGUCCAAAGUCUAAGAUGAGACUUUCUGGUGGAGGUGGGUGGUUUUAACUUAUCGAUUAAGUAAUCGCAUUGCAUGAAUGUGCUCUAUGGGUUGUCCCGUGGUUUCAUACCGACUCAUUUUUGCAAAAGUGAUCGUCUCUUUUUAGAUGCAUUAAGAAUAAGAGAAUAUGUUAAUUUUUCCAUCACCGUACUUCCGUUUUUCUUUUCUUUUCUUUUCUUGCUAUACUCUUAGAUUGUUUGUAAGAGGCAUGGCAGUAUACCCCUAUUAAUUUUCAAGGGACGAAACCCGAAUUUAAUUAGAUAGUAGAACUAGUUUGUAUAUGCUCCAUCAAUGUAUUUAGUGGAACCCCUUCAUUUUAGAACUGGUUGAUGUGCCUAUUUACAUAUAAAAUCAAUGGGUAGAUAUUAUCUUGUGUUAAUUAGAAGGUGGACAUCAAUAAAAAAAUAUAUAAAUGAAUAAAUAAGUAAAAUUAAAAUUUGGACUACAUUGCCCAUUGCACAUUAUCCAAAGCAUCCAAGUACUAACACUCUUUGCCUAUGAUUUGAAAGCAGUCUGUACAUCUCUAUUUCCGGUGGUAAAUAUCAAAGCUCAUUUGAGAUGAUGCCCUUCUUGGCCUCAGUUCUCUCGUACUAUGAAUGCAUGUCUCCACCCAUAUAUACUUUGAAAAACAACCGUAUCAGUUAUGAUUUGAAGAACAUUCUCUUCUUUGACUUUCCAUUGUUUCUAUAGGAUUCCAAACACCAUUCUCUGCGACCAAAAUCAAGACUGGGCAUAUUCUAACCAGGUUGGCAAGACCAAUAAAAAAACCAAGAAAGAACCGAAAUUCAAGCGCAACCCGAAGAUCUUCGGAAGCUUCGAAGGUGGCCGUGGAGGAAAGGCAAUUGGCUAUGGCUCGCUCAGCAGCUCGGGCAGCUUCUUCAUUGAGGAAGAUCUCGACCUCGAAACGCCCCAAAGCGACUGGUCCCGUUAUUGCCGGCGUCUUGAGAUGCUCUAAUAUGGUCGUAUGAUGCAUGGUUGAAAGCUCGACAUGUCUAGCUUCGAUGAAUCAAGUUUCCCUGCAAUUUGGAAGUCCUUUGAAGGAAAUUAUGCCCGAAGUACUAAGAGGAGGAAAUCUGGGAUAUUGUUAAGUUUCAGUAUAGUAUGAUGCAGGCCGCGCGGGUGGUAUGGCCAGGCACGAGCUGGCUAUCGGCACGCAUGGUCGGGCUGGCAGGCCGGCCAUGUUGCGGGCUGGUUGCAUGAAUUUAUGGGCAUGAAUGCCACUAUUAUCUUUUCAUACUGAAAUGCACAGAUAAUGAUUUCAAAUUCUUGUUUCAAAUCAAUUUUACAAAGUACAGUCACAUUAUGAAAAAAAAAAAUCAUCUAAAAAGUCAUAAAUCUAUUACAUUUUAACCAAUUCAAUUCUAAUCCUUUCAGUUGCGUUAAUUGAGUCCUAAACAUUUUCACGUGUUGCCAAUUGAGUUUUACCCAACUAAGUUUAAUUGAAAAUCAAUGACGUGGAUGCCAGUAGUGCUACAUAGGACAAUUGGGGUUGAUGUUACCGAUUUUUUUUUUUAAAUUUGUCUUUUUUUUUAUUUAUUUUCUUAUUUUUUUCUUACCAAGUCCGACAAGGAUUGCCAGCUGAAAGGCAAGGGCUGGGUGACCCUUGUUGGCGAAUGGGUGAAGGCCACGAUGAUUGAGGCUUCAUGGUUGGCAAGGGUUGGCCAGCAGCUCUUUUGCUAGCCUUGGAAGGAAAAAGAAAGAAAGAAAGAAAGUUGAUCGAUUAAUACAUAUACACGGAUGCCGUGUGUGCAUUAUGCAAAACCAAGAGGCUGUUUAGUUUGACAUUCACCAAAUUAGUCAUAUUUAAAUUUCUUUUUUACCGAAAUAAAAUAACCUUCCAAUAUCUUAUAAAAUCUUUGCAAAGAUUUGAGGUGACGUAUGGUGACAUGAAGACUUUUCUAAAAAAAUUAAACGCGUUUUGACAUUAUAAUUCCAUGUUUUUGUGUCUUCUAUGGUUUUAUCAGGGGCACAUAUGGCCCAGUGCAGUCCUCUGGAAGUCGCGUGUCGGUUUUUGGUGCCUUCGCGUUCGCCCCUAAAAUGCAUACUCGGAUGACGGCGCGUCUUCGCCGCGUCGGCGACUUCGUCUUUGUCAACAAAACCAAAAUGAACGCUCCGACGAUGGCGUAUCUUUGCCAAACCAAAAUGAACGCUCCGACGAUGGCGUAUCUUUGCCUCGUCCGCCUUGACGCGUCGUCCAUACCGUGUGAUAAUGCUCUCAUCGUCGCGAGGAUUUGGCCAGCAUCGACUUCUUCACAUAAUCCCAAGAUGCAGCAGCAUGACACGACGAAAUCCUUCCGUGGAGCAGCCUUGUCCGGCAUUGCAUAGCUAGAGUACCGCCUGACGCACGCGUCAAAACGGAAUCUAAUGGGAUCUACACAUAAGAAAACGUUCGAUUAUCUGUCGCAUCCUCGCGGGAGAAGACCAAAUCCGAUCAAGCCAUGAGAGUCUAGAGUUUAUGUAGCUACGCAAAAUUGCAAGAUUUUGAAAUACAAAGCUCUUUUUCCAUGACCUAAUGAUAGAGUUGUCUUGCGUGGCAGCAUGUGGCCUGCUGCCGCGUCAACGAUUUUCGAUGAAAAUUAAUCAGAGGGAGUAUAUUAAAAUUUCAUGUAAAGACUUAGGAUUAAAUUAGCAAAAAUUAAAAAGUUUUAGAAUUGAUUUGACUUAUGUACAAAAUAUUUAGGUGUAAUUAAGUAAUUUUCCAGGUUCAUUUGAGACAAAUUGAUGGCUACAAUUGUAAUUGAUCAUUAGUAACAGAUCGAUCCGACAAGUGAAGCAAAGGAGAAUUUUGAGAUGGAAAGGGAGAUUAAUUGGAGGAGGAACUUUCCUUUUUUGGGCUUUUGGAGUUCCACUGGCAAAGCCCUGCUGGCCCAAUGGCCACUGGUCAAGUAGAUGGGCCCAGAGUUUGGGCCUUCGAGCCCAUAUAAUUCGAUUUGGGCCAAGCCUUUUACCAGGCCAUCUCGAGAGAAGAUGGGCAUGAUCGACAUAGCCCAACCCGGCCCAGCCCAAUUGCCACCCCUUCCUUAUUAUGUAAGUCGAUAUAUUUGGUAAGCACAAAAUCAUCUAAUUCAAUGAAAAUUCAACCAUUAACUUUAUUAUUUAUUUAUUUUUUGGCUGAAGUUUUUGGAUCUAUAUCAUUAAACCCAAAGUGUCAUUUAUAUUCCUACGAGAAUCCCUACAAGGCCCGUAGUUUGGGCCUUGGGGCCCAAAUAAGUUGAUUGUGCCAGGCCAACCCGGCCCAACCCAAUUGCCACCCCCUCCUCAUUAUGUAAGUCGAUAUAUUAGGUAAGCACGGAAUCACCUAAUUCAAUGAAAAUACAACCAUUUACUUUAUUACUCUUAUUAUUAUUAUUAUUUUUGGGUUGAAGUUAUUGGAUCUAUAUUAUUAAACUCAAACUGUCAUUUAUAUUCCUAUGAGAAUCCCUUCGAGGCUCGGAGUUUGGGCCUUAGGGACCAAAUAAGUUGAUUGUGCCGGCCCAACCAGGCCCGGCCCAAUUGCCACCCUUCCUCAUUAUGUAGUCAAUAUAUUAGGUAUGAGUGGAAUCGUCCAAUUUAGUAAAAAUUUAACCAUUGACUUUGUUAAAUUUUUUGGAUCAAGAUUUUUGAACCAAAAGUGUUAAAUAUUAUUUAUAUAUUGAAAUAUAUUUUAAUUUUGUUAAUUUUUUUGGUUGAAUAAUUUUAAGUUUGUUAAUUUUGUUAAUUAAAGAAGUUUAGUUUCCGAUAAAAAUAAUUUUAUUAAUAUGAAUAUUAUAAAUCAUAUCCACCUUUAUUCCACAUAUUCGUUGUGAGUGCAAUCCUAGAUUUAAGCUUAUCAAAGUAAGUUUUCAAACAAGUCCUUUCACUUAGAUAUAACUUCAUACAAUCUUUUGCCAUUGUAAAUCGUGAAAGAUGAUGGAAAAGAGGUUGCAAUUCAGUAACAAAAUUGCGAAAACCAACACGCUCAACCAUGAAAAAUGGUUGCUCAUCAAUAAUAAUCAUUCGAGCAAGCAUAUGCCUACAACGUUCUUGAUCAAAUUUCUAUAUCGUUAAAACACUAUCAGUAGUAGUAUUUUCCCCACCUCACCAACCACAUCUUUGUCACGUGAUGCAAACAACAUUUGUUUUUUAUCUGUACAAGGAUACUUUUUGCACUUUCUCAAGUGCUUCCACAUAGUAGAGGUUCCAUGAUCAACAUUAUACACAUAAUCCAUCCCGCAAUGAAUGCACUUCACCUUAACUGUUUUCUGUGUUUUCUCAUCUAUAAUUCUCAAAAAAUGAUUCCAAUAAUGUGAUUAAUUAGCUCGCUUUUUACCCGAAGCAAUAUGAGAGUUAGGUACCCUCACCUUGUUUGCGCCUAUGAUUGCAGAUUCCACUUCAUUAGCUCCAUGGAAUGGCAAUUCCAUGAGUGGACUCAUUUCAUUAUGUCCCUCUACUUCCAUUGAUAUGUCUUUAUCUUGAUCCAUUGAUUGAAAAUUGAAAAAAAAAAUUAUAUAACAUUAGAAUUCUACACAAACAUAUUAGUUUUCAUAGUAAAUCAAACCUCUCAACAUAACUUUGGAGAUAGAAAGUAAUUCAUGAUCUAACAUAGUAAAUCAAAUCUCUCAUUAGGUAUGCAUUGGAAAUGUAGAAUGCUGAUCUUCUGGCAAGCACUAUGUAGUUCAUGGUCUAACAUAAGAAAUCACUCCAUUUUUACUCAACUUCAGUGUUGUGGAAAUACAAGUUUCCUAUUAUCUCUGUCAUGAACAAGAAUUACAAGCUUCACAUAAUACUCCCUCUGGAAUAACCUAUUCAACAUAAACAAGCUGAAGCAAAAUGGGUUCAAGACAAAACAAGAUAUGGCAAUAAUGGCAAAGAAAUCAAGCAAUUUUGCAGCUUUGAUUUUUAUCCUGAAAGAAUCAUUGUAAUUGAGACUAUUUUGUUGCUUACUCAGUUAUAUGCCAUGACAGCGUUCAUUGUACACCCAACAAAACUAUUCCCCACCAUCACGGUAAACUGUUGUUUCAUACUCCAUUAGAAUUGGAUCGGUAUUAAUAUCCAUAUAAAAAAGUCUGCCAUCAUUAGGGGUGAUCAGGUCCAGGGUGGGUCCAGGGUGGGUAGGGUCUAAACCUGGACCCUGUUCCCGACCCUGUUAUAACCGGUUCUCUUUUUUUGGACCCUGUAUCCGACCCUAUUUGCAUUGGACCCUAUUCCCAAACCACCAUGUUUUUCCGGUUCGAGAACAGGGUUAACCCUGUUUAUAUUGGAACUUGUUUUGUAUAAAAAUUGUUGUACAACACUCAUAAGAUAAAGCGUUUAACACUCAUAUGUAAGACAAUCCAAUGAUAAUAUCCUUGGUAAGACAAAAUGAAAUUUGUUUUCCAAUGAUAAUGUUCUUGGUAAGACAAUCCAAAUCUAUAAAAUAAAAAAAAUAAAAAGAAAAGAGAUUAAAUAAGGCAUUCACUUAAUAGACUUUUACCAUUGACGCCAUGUCUCAAUCACGAUCUGCUCUAUCUCAACAUCAUUAGCUACUCUGCCUUUCUCAUUGACGCCUCUUUUUAGGUAUCUGCACAAGAGAUGAAUUAGCAGGAUCAGGCAUAAAACGAGCAAAUGAAGAGGAAGAGUGGCCUAUUUUUAUUGUUAUAAAAAGUAAUAAAGAAAAGAAAACAGGAUAGAUAGAUGCAUGGAAAAGCAUGGCUAUUUUCCCAGAUAGAUUCUUCCUUGGAAUACCAACUAGAAUCUAUUACCUAGUGCCAGCGUAAUGCCGCGAGCGUCUAGCAAUCAGGGUGAACUAGAAUUGCUUGCCCAAGAAAGAAAGCUUCUCCUGAUACGACCCAGAAGCAGUUAACACAAUAUCAUUCUUUCAUUCUCUCAGUUAGGUACAUGAUUUCUUGCACAAAUUAUCAUUGAAAUGCAUGAGGAUGCUUUUUAACUUAGCUGCAUGAUGCUAUUCUCGGUACAAACCAUUUUAAUUGAUUAACAGUUAGAUUAGUAAGCUAAAGACUGAAUAUUGAUUAAACGGAAUGGCAACAACAAACUAAGCCUUACCCCAUUAAAAAGGUCUGGCUAUAUGAAUUGUUUUACGCCCUCGCGCUUCAUCCUAUAUAACAAUAAUUCAGUAAAAAUUCUGAUUGAAGUACUUCACAAUCCAUACCUGGUGAAAGAACCCAUGUACCAACGUGACUAUCCACAAGGUAUUCUUGAGGUUAUUCCGAAUUCCACGUGUCAGAUAUUCAUUCCAAACAAACAUUGUAUCAUAGAGGCUCUGCCCAAACUCCUGAUCACACAGGUUCUUCUGAAGGCUACGCAUAACAUCAUAUGAGUUGCUGAAGAAGAAGUCCUUCGUAAGAUCAAUCACAGACAGGAGCUUCUUGUAUCUAUGGGGAUGAUCAAAAGGCAAAGCAUCCGGUUAAAACACACUGAACAGGAGAACACAUCAAACACAAACUAUAAGUGUAAUCCAACAGUUUGAACCACAAAUGUGAAAAGAAUUAACAGUAAUCUACUGCCGACACCUUGUAUCAAUCAUUUUGCAUUACAAGAUCACGGGGGCAAUGUUCACCCUGUCUAUUUGCAGUAAAAUAACUAGCAUGACUUCAAGAAAAUUCAAACACUAAAUAGGAUGCACUCGUAAAGUGUGAUAUCCCUUAUGCCACAGCUACAAACUAACUGGUCAUCCAAUGCAUGAACAUAAGUGAAGAACCAAGGCAUCUUUAAUUGAAACUUGAUGUUAUGAGACCACUCCCUCUGAUUAAAUUAGGAAUAGAAUGUUGCAAGACAAAUGAGAUUUUCUUCAUCUUGUAGCAGUGCUAUACGAUUAAAUUAGCAGGACCCGGCAGCAGCGGCUUCGCAGGGGAGGGCAGCGCAGGCGAGGCGCUACAGCAUGGGGCUCGGCGAGACGCGACGAUGUCGGGUCGACGCGGAUUAGCACAGCAGCGGCUUCGACGGGCUGCUGGUAUCGCGACUGGUGAGGGCGACAAGGAUCAACGUGGCUUCAGCAGGCAUUAGCGAGGGGGCUAGGCCAAAUCGCGAGCAGAGCAAGGGGCGUCGUUCGGGCGACGGUAGAUUGGCAGCAAGGGAGCUCAGGAAACAGCGCGCAGUGAGAACAGGAUCAGCGGAGGGCUACUGUGGGUUGCUCGAAGAUGCGACAAGGUGGCUUGCGGACGCGAGAUCUGUGGGUCAGGGCCGUCGGUGAGGCAACAGCAGCAGGUGGAACGGCGAGAACGAACGGAGGCGGCGUCGGUGCUCGGGUGCGAGCUCAGUAGGGGUUAGCGGCUUCGUGGGCAGAACCAAUGGAGCAGAGCUUCAGAAGACCGGUGGAACGGCGGUGGUGGUGCGAGCGCGAGGGGUGAAACGAGAGGCAGAGGCAGUGUCGGAUGGAACCAGCCCGUGUGAGAGAGGUAAAGAUAGAAAGUAGAGAUUAGGGUUUUGCAUUUUGGUUUUUGGGGGUGGCUUAAAACCGGUUCUCCAACCGGUUCCCAAACCGGUCCGGUCGAUCCAGUUCCCGGGUGGGUAAACCCUCGAAACCGGUUCCCGAACCGGUUCAAACAGGGUCUAAGUUUUGGGAACCGGUUCCCGGACCAAUUUCAACCGGAACUGGUUCCCGACCCUAUUUUCCGGGUGAGCCGAUCCGGGAAUUGGGUUGACCCGGUCCGGUUGCACACCCCUAGCCAUCAUCGAGUUCCGCAAAAUGGCAAUUCCCAAUUCCCUUGUACAUAAAAAAAAAGAAGCAUAAAAUUGUCAUUUCUCUUAUUUUUUUAUGCUAGCUAAAUCUUGCUAAGCUUUGACAUCCAUUCAGUGGUAUCGAUAGAACAUAAACUACAACCUCCUAGACAUUUUGAAAUAUAAUCCCUGUUUUCACCAUCUCCCAAUCCAGAUUUAUCAUUCUACAUCCAGCAAAACCAAGUCAACCCACGAGAACGCCAGCAAAAUUCACUAAGUAAGAAGCCCACAACAUGAAUUGCCGUCCCGUUAGGCAGGGAACAGAUACCAACGGCCUAAAGAGGGGGCUCAACUUCAUACCUAUAGGCUUUGUCGCCGAUGUGGGGCGGCGAGGAUGGUCGAGACCAGGAAAAGAAAACGGGUACAAAUGCAAAUCAGAAACGACGCUGCCAGCAAUUGGGUUGGAGGCAGGAUUCACAAACAAGGAUUCAACAAGAUCUUGAAUUACAGAAAAUCAGCAUGAAGACUUCUUCGCCCGUCAGAUUAAAACACUGGAAGAUCUUGAAUUUAGAAGCAACACCCGACAAAAAAAAGCGGGUACGACUCAAAAACCAAUCGGCCUAUCGACCAAGUACUUGGAGAUGCUACAAGAUGGAAUCAAGAACUCAGAACAAAGCCACCCAAAGACAAUCCCAAGAAUCUACAAGAGUCAAAACACAAAGAGAGAAGUACGAGUCAAGAAGAAGGGAAGGGAAGGAGACUUUAGGCCGUCGAUGAAGGGAAAAUGCAAAGUGUUGGAUGGAAGGAGGAGGAAAGAGACGCGCUUAAGCCACACCAACGCCAAGCACUCCUCUUCUGAAAACCGAAACUCACAAGGAAAUUAUAGGCCGGCACUAAUCUGGAGGACGGAGAUGAAGCCAGUGUACGACGAGUCAAGCUUGGACCCAGGGGCGAUGGCGCCAAAGCCCACCUUGCCGCCCUAGAGGUCGGUGAUGUUGACGAAGCCGGUGUUGCCAGGGGCGUUCCCAGCUAUGAGUGUCGCGGGAGGAAGGCGACAGUGGGCGCAGCGCUAGGAUGGAUGGAUCGGCGGAGGUGAGACCGUGAGAGCUUAAGAAGUUGAGAGUAAAGAUAAAAAGAAAUGAAUUAGGGUUUUGCCUUAAAAACCGGUUCUCAAACCGGUUCCUGAACCGGUCCGAUCGAUCCGGUUCCCGGGUAGGUAUUCCCUCGGAACCGGUUCUCGGACCGGUUCAAACAGGGUCUGAACUUUGGGAACCGGUUCCCAGACCGGUUUAAACCGGAACCGGUUCCCGACCCUGUUUUCCGGGUGGCCGAUCCGGGAACUGGGUUGACCUAGUUCGGUUGCACACCCCUACUCAUGGGAAGACUCAAAAUGUCAAUUCUAAGAAACUCUUAUAUACUUUUUUGUCAUGUACAGCUUUUUUACGUACUUUUUGAAUUAAAAUUAUAUAUAACAUUACGAUCAAGUGAUUUUUUUGAAUUGGACGCCAUCGCGUUUUAGUUAAUUGACAUUGACUAACCGAGUGUGGAUCCAUCCUAAGCGAAGACUGUGUGCUAAUUAGUUUUGGAAAAUAAUAUUUCAAUAUAAUCACCGUACCUAAAACAAUAUGUGGAAAUGUAAAAGCAAGGAAUCAGAUCAUCAGAACACCCAAGAUACAACCUGUACAAGACAAAGCCCGAACCCAUGCUCAUCCUCUCAGGGAAGCAUUCACAAGCAGCAGAAUUCAAGAUUCAAGAACCACCCUCCGCAAAUGUACAGCGUGUCAGCGACUAUUGAAGGCAGUCUCUAAGGAAAUACAAUUACAUAAACAAGGCAGAUAGCAGCAAAAAGAGACGGAGAUCCUCCAUGGUUUAGAAGUGAUGGUGGUGCUUCUUGCCAUGAUGAGACUCUUUAUCUUUUUUCUUGGCCUCCUUCCUCUCGUGGUGCUCGUGGAAGGCGAACCCGACAGCCCCGACGGCAGCGGCGGCAGCUAUUUCCUCCUCUAUCUUGUGCCGGUGAGCGUGCUCCGGGUCCUUCUUGGCCUUAUGCUUCUCAUGCUGCAUUUUGCACAUCAUUAAUCAGAAAUUGCGUGCACGAAACAAAAUGAGUUAAGGUAAAGAGGAAAGGAGCAAAAAAAAAAAAAAAGUUCUCUAUUAUGUAUACUUUUUUUAUACCAGCUCUGAGCAUGGGAUAAGUUCGAGAAAAAAAAAAUUAUUCACUUUGAAAAGAAGCAUUUGAUCCUGUAAAUAGUGCUAUGGAUUACAAGUUUUUGUUUAAGCCAAUUGUAGGGAAAUCUUAUUCCUCUAGCUGAUGGGUGAAGGAAAUCAAUUAAAUUCAAACUAUUGUUCAUUUAUAAGGAUGAUCCAAUCUCGCAUGGCAUGCCAUUAUUAUGUCGAGUUGAAAUAUGUGAGUUUAAUCGAGAUCUUUUGCAUUCAAUGCUCGUUAAUAACAUGAUGAUUCAGGUCAAUAAGGUGAAGACGUGAAUUUUAUCUAAAUUAUAAAAUGGGAAAAGAAUUUCAAAAAUUGAAAAGAAGAUGAAAAUUAUUACCAAGGCAUAAGCACCGGCAGCGACGGCACCGAGCUCACCGAGCUGCUGGAGGUGCUUGUGGUGCUUCUCCUCCUUCCUGUAAUCAACCGUAGGCUCCAUGAAGGCAUCAUCCUUCUUGUGGUGGCUGCGGUGGAGGUUGUGGUGGUGGUGAUGGUGGUGUCCUUCGGCCAUGGUUGGUGGUUGUUUUUUUAAGGAAUACUAGAAUUGACGAAGGAUCAGGGAAAGGACUAUAGCUGAAGUGUAUGAUAUGCGUUGUGUGACCGUUAGAGAGGAGGGGCGUAUUUAUAGGGAAAGUUGGCACAAGCAAAGUCUUGCAUCCAAUCGGGCCAACGCGGGAGGCCUUAAACGCGUGAUGGACGGUCGGGAUUGCUUAGUCUGGUUCUUCUCGAUGCAUUUUUGUCUUCUUUCGAUGGGGGGCGGUUUCUAGUUGAGGGAUUUUUGGGACGGCAAAUUUAUUAGAGAACAAUGCUCUAACAAUACCAUAUACUGGACAGUGAUGUUUCUAUCGUUUCCCUUUGAUUUGUCUGAUGAUAAUUUCUUAUUCUUGAGCUUGAAUUGCAUGAUUUGUUUAAUAAUGUAAUUGUAGGGGUCCAAAGUCUAAGAUGAAACUUUCUAGUGGAGGUGGGUGGUUUUAACUUAUCGAUUAAGUAAUCGCAUCAAAUGAAUGUGCUCUAUGGGUUGUCCCGUGGUUUCAUACCUACUCGUUUUUGCAAAAGUGAUCAUCUCUUUUUAGAUACUUUAAGAAUAAGAGAAUACGUUAAUUUUUUCAUCACCGUACUUCCAUUUUUUUCCUUUUUUUUUUCCUGCUAUACUCUUAGAUUGUUUGUAAGAGGCAUGGCAUUAUAUCCGUAUUAAUUUUCAAGGGAUGAAACCCGAAUUUAAUUAAAUAGUAGAACUAGUUCGUAUAUGCUCCAUCGAUGCAUUUAGUGGAACCCUUCAUUUUAGAAUUGGUUGACUUGCCUAUAUACAUAUAAAAUUAAUGGGGUAGAUAUUAUCGGGUGUUAAUUAGAAGGUAGACAUCAAUAAAACAUAUAUAAAUGAAUAAAGAAGUAAAAUUAAAAAUUCAAGGACUAUAUCGCCCAUUGCAUAUUAUCCAAAGCAUCCAAGUACUAACACUCUUUGCCUAUGAUUUGAAAGCAGGCUGUACAUCUUUAUUUCCAGUGGUAAAUAUCAAAGCUCGUUUGAGAUGACGCCCUUUUUGGCCUUGGUUCUCUCAUACUUUGAAUGCAUGUCUCCACCCAUAUAUACUUUGAAAAACAACCGUAUCAGUUAUGAUUUGAAGAACAUUCUCUUCUUUGACUUUCCAUUGUUUCUAUAGGAUUCCAAACACCAUUAUCUACGACCAAAAUCAAGACUAGGCAUGUUCUAACCAGGUUGGCAAGACCAAUAAAAAAACCAAGAAAGAAUGGAAAUUCAAGCGCAACCCGAAGAUCUCCGGAAGCUUCGAAGGCGGCCGUGGAGGAAAGGCAAUUGGCUAUGGCUCGCCUCAGCAGCUCGGGCAGCUUCUUCAUUGAGGAAGAUCUCGACCUCGAAACGCCCCAAAGUUACUGGUCCCGUUAUCACUGGCGCCGAAUUGCCGGUGUCUCGAGAUGCUCUAAUAUGGUCGUAUGAUGCACGGUUGAAAGCCCGACAUGUCUAGCUUCGAUGAAUCAAGUUUCCCUGCAAUUUGGAAGUCCUUUGAAGGAAAUUAUGCCCGAAGUACUAAGAGGAGGAAAUCUGAGAUAUUGUUAAGUUUCAAUAUAGUCCGAUGCAAGCCGCGCCAGUGGUAUGGCCAGGCACAAGCAGGCUAUCGGCACGCAUGGUUGGGCUGGUAGGACGGCCAUGUUGCGGGCUGGUUGCAUGAAUUUAUGGGCAUAAAUACUACUAUUAUCUUUUCAUAAUGAAAUAUACAGAUAAUGAUUUCAAGUUCUUAUUUCAAAUCAAUUUUACAAAGUACAAUCACAUUAUGAGGAAAAAUUAUAUAAAAAGUCAUAAAUUUAUUACAUUUUGACCAAUUCAAUUCUAAUCAUUUCAAUUGUGUCAAUUAAAUUCUAAACAUUUUCACGUGUUGUUAAUUUAGUUUAUCCGGCUAAUUUUAAUCGGAAAUCACUGAUGUGGACACCAGUAAUGUUAUAUAGAACGGUUGGGGUUAAUGUGACCAAUUUUUUUUAUAAUUUUUCUACUUUUUUUAUUUUUCUUUCUUUUCCUACCAAGUCUGACAAGGAUCGCCAACAAACCCUUGCCAGCCAAAAGGCAAGGGCUGGGUGACCCCUAUUGGCAGCUGGGUGAGGGCUUCAUGGUUGGCAAGGGUUGUCCAGCAGCUCUUUUGUUGGGCUUAGGAGGGAGAAAAGAAAAAGAAAAAGAAAAAGAAAGUUGAUCGAUUAAUACAUAUACAUCGGCCUGUGUGAAUUAUGUGAAACUAAGAGGCUGUUUUGUUUGACGUUCACCAAAUUAGUCAUAUUCAACUUUCUUUUUAACCGAAAUAAAAGAACCUUCCAAUAUCUUAUAAAAACUUUUGAAAGAUUUGAGGUGACGUAUGGUGACAUGAAGAUUUUUCUAAAAAAAAUUGAACGCGUUUUGACAUUACAAUUCCAUGUUUUUGUCUUCUAUGGUUUUAUCAGGGGCACGUGCACUCCUCUUGAAUUCGCGUGUCGGUUUUUGGUGCCUUCGCGUUCGCCCGUAAAAUGCAUACUCGGAUGACGGCGAGUCUUCGCCGCGUCGGCGACUUCGUCUUUGUCAACAAAACCAAAAUGAACUUUCUGACGAUGGCGUGUCUUCGCCUCGUCCGCCUUAGCGCGUGGUCCAUACCGUGUGAUAAUGCUCUCAUCGUCACGAGAAUUCGGUCAGCAUCGACUUCUUCACCUAUUCCCAAGUUGCAGCAGCAUGACACGACGAAAUCCUUGCGUGGCGCAGCCUUCUCCGGCAUUGCAUGGCUAGAGUACCGCCUGACGCACGCGUCGAAUCGGAAGCUAAUGGGAUCUACACACAAGAAAACAUUCGACCAUCUGUCGCAUCCUAGCGGGAGAAGACUAAAUCCGAUCAAGCCAUGAGAAUAUAGAGUUUAUGUAGCUACGCAAAAUUGCAAGAUUUUGAAAUACAAAGCUCCUUUUUCCAUGACCUAACGAUAGAGUUGUCUUGCGUGGAGAGGCACAUGACCUGUUGCCGCGUCAGCGAUCUCCUAUGAAAAAAUCAAAAGGAUUAUAUUAAAAUUUCCUGUAAAGACUUAGGAUUACAUAAGAAAAAAUUUAUAAGUUUUAGAACUGAUUUGACUUCCGUACAAAAUAUGUAGGUGUAAUUAAGUAAUUUUAAAGGUUCAUUUGAGACAAAUUGAAGGUUAUAAUUGUAAUUGGCCAUUAGCAACGGAUCGAUCCGACGAGUGAAGGAAAGGAUAAUUUUGAGAUGAAAAGGGAGAUUGAUUGGAGAAGGAACAUUCCUUUUUUGGGCUUUUGCAGGCCCAUUGGCAAAGCCAUGCUGGCCCAACGGCCACCGGUCAAGUAGAUGGGCCCAGAGUUUGAGCCUUCGGGCCCAUAUAAUUCGAUUUGGGCCGAGCCUUUUACUAGGCCAUAUCGAGAGAAGAUGGGCCUGAUCGACACAGCCCAACCCAGCCCAGCCCAAUUGCCACUCCUUCCUCAUUAUGUAAGUCGAUAUAUGAGGUAAGCACGGAAUCAUCUAAUUCAGUGAAAAUUCAACCAUGAACUUUAUUUAUAUAUAUAUAUUUUUUGGCUGAAGUUUUUGGAUCUAUAUUAUUAAACCCAAAGUGUCAUUUAUAUUCCUACGAGAAUCCCUCCAAGGCCCGUAGUUUGGGCCUUAGGGCCCAAAUAAGUUGAUUGUGUCAGCCUACCUGGCCUAGCCCAAUUGUCACUGCCUCCUCAUUAUGUAAGUCGAUAUAUUAGGUAAGCACAGAAUCACCUAAAUCAUGAAAAUCUAACAUUACUUUAUAUCUCUUUUUUUUGCCUCCUCAUUAUGUAAGUCGAUAAAUUAGGUAAGUACGGAAUCAUCUUAUUUAGUGAAAAUUCAACCAUUAACCUUUAUUUUUUUAUUUUUUAUUUUUGGCUGAAGUUUUUGGAUCUAUAUUAUUAAACCAAAAGUGUUAGUUAUAUUCCUACGAGAAUCCCUCCAAGGCCCGUAGUUUUGGGCCUUAGGGCCCAAAUAAGUUGAUUGUGCCAAAGCCGACCCAGCCCAGCCCAAAUUACCACCCCCUCCCUCAUUAUGUAAGUCGAUAUAUUAGGUAAGCACGGAAUCACCUAAUUCAAUGAAAAUCCAACCAUUAACUUUAUUACUCUUAUUUAUUUUUUUUGGGCUAAAGUUAUUAGAUCUAUAUUAUUAAAGCAAAAUUGUCAUUUAUAUUCCUACGAGAAUCCCUCCGAGGCCCAGAGUUUGGGCCUUAGGGCCCAAAUAAGUUGAUUGUGCCAGCCCGAUUAGGCCUGGCCCAGUUGCCACCCUUCCUUAUUAUGUAGUCGAUAUAUUAGGUACGAGUGGAAUCAUCCGAUUUAGUAAAAAUUUAACCAUUAACUUUAUUAUUAUUUUUUUGCUAAUUUUUUUGGUUCUAGAUUUUUAAACCAAAAGUGUCAAAUAUUAUUUAUAUAUUGAAAUAUAUUUUAAUUUUAUUAAUUUUUUUGGUCGAAUAAUUUUAAUUUUGUUAAUUAUGUUAAUUUAAGAAGUUUAGUUUCCGAUAAAAGUAAUUUUCUUAAUAUGAAUAUUAGAAAUCAUAUUUACCUUUAUUCCACCCUCUCACGAAAUAAUUUUGUCCGGUCUAUGUUCCUAUCAUAUCUGACUUUAUCAUAUUUUGAGCACACAUCAAACGAAGAAUAAGAUAAAUUUUAUCAUAUCUUGAAUUUUAUCAUGACUGUCAAAUGCAAUCAAGGUUUUUCUAUCUAUUGUAUUUUUUGCAUCAAAUUCUUAGUGGUUCAUUAACGCUUUUCCUAGAUUCGCUUGAGGCACAUUUGUAACACAAUUGUGUAGCUAUUAAUGUUAUGUUGAUGACGUUUUCUACUAGGCAACUUCAAGUAUAACUUGCUUUUUGGUUACAUGGUCCUUUCCAAUUUCCCCUUAUUUGUUUCAUUUUUUUGUUAAUCAUCGUGUUAAAUCUUGAUUUGUUUUAACAAAUUUGACAGAUAAAGAGCCUCUUGGGAACAAAGGCUGAGUGGAUGUACUAUAUUCUCAAGGCAUUUAAUGCUGGUGAUUUGCAACGCUAUUGACAACUAUGUCAUGUACACAAGGCUACUCUCAAUGCACAACCUGGUUUGGUCGAAAAUGACAAAACUAUUGGAGAAAAUCAACAAUCUCUGCCUAAUGGAAAUCAUAUUCAGGUCUCACUUUCAAUUCUUUUCUUAUCUCCAUUUCUUUCAUACUUAUUAUUUCACAUUUUGCAUUAUAACUAUGUAUUCCUCCACAUAUAAAAUAUACAAUCUUCUCCUGCAACUGUGCAUAAGAAGAUAGGACAAUUCCACCCAGCAUUAUUGAUGAAAGCCCAAAGUCUUUGUGUAGCUCAUGUUGAGCACCUUCUCAUGAAGAGCCUUUCUGUAAGUUUUCCUAAUUCUUUUGUAUUUCCCUUGGUGGUUGUGUCGUGUUGUGUUCUAUGACAUUGGAUGAGUAGAUUGGACGUCAUCAUUAUUCUGGCUGUGUGUAUAUGAUCCUUCUCUAGUUUAGAGUUCAUUUGGUUAUAGUUUGACUUAGCCUUAUGGUGCAGCUGUAUACACGAAGCUUGAAGACAUAAUGAACUUCAUCUGGAUAGAUUAGUGGUUUAGAUGUUUCAAAAAAUGAAUAAUUGAUAGUCAUAUGGAUGGGUGGAAGCUUUAUACCUAAUCAAGAGAGCAUAAAAGAACCACUCUUUUUCUCCUUGGUCUGAUCCCACGAACACAUAGGCAGUGAAGAUCUUACGUUCUUGGCUAUUUCUCUUAAAAUAUGGUUAAUCUCAAAGUCCAAGUAGAGGGAACAGUGCAUGUUUCCUGGGUCCAACCAAGAGUUCUGGGCAUUCUGCAAGUUAAAUCCUUGCGAGAUCGGUUGGAUGGUUGGUUGGAUAAAGUACACACUACUUUUCUAUUAGUUGAAGCAGAAACACCUGAUCUCGUCACUAUAUAGUCUUAUGUUGCUUUUACCUCCGCCAAUUGUAACAUCCCUUGACUAAGUUUGCCAACAACAAAGUGAAAGGAGGUGAAAGAAGAGACAAGUGCGAGGCAGUUGGGCAUUUUGUCCAUACCCGGGCUUCUUUCUAUGUCUCUAAGUAUUCUUCAAUCAUUUUUUGUUGCAAGUGGCUGUCUCGUGUGCUUCAGGGGAAUGUUUUCAACAGUCGAUUAGAGACUUAUUUAUUAGGUUAAAGAUGAUCAUUUACUGACUAAAGAUAGACAUCAGAAUGUGCAAGGAGAAUCUCAUUCGAUAUUCCUGAUAUGAUUUGCGUCAUGUAUGAAUUGCUGAUUAUAUUUUCAAAUGAACAUGAAAUUCAUUGUGCCAAUUGUCUCACUCCCGCGUGCGUGCACUCGCAUUGCUAGUACUUCUUAGGGCAUAUGAUGCCGUUAUAUAUAUCUGCUUGCUCCAUGGCCUUAAGUUCUUCACAGUUGAACAUUUGGGUUUCAACAAAUUCGACGAAUUAACAUCGGCUCUCACUCUCGUGCGCGCACAUAAUGGUCGUGCUUCUUAUGGGAUAUAUGGGUGGACACUGUACAUAUAUGCAUGUUGGAGAAAUCUUCCUUGAGUGUUUUGAAGCUGACAAAAUGUUUCCAUCAGUCUAGUCUAAAGACUUGCAGACUCUUCCAUCAAAGUCUAAAGACCUCGGGACUACCAGACUCAAGACUCAAAGUCUAUCCUCAUUGAUAGAUUCUAGUCUGUCGAAUAAGACUUAUCCAAAACUGGAUGUUUCGUCAAGGAUUUGACUUUAUUGACUGGAGAAGAUCUCUUUGCUGGAUAUAGCACGACGGAAUCCUUUAUUCUAAUCAAAAUUGAUUUGGGAAUCGUGGAUCCGUUGAUUGGCGAAGUAUACUUGGAAGGUUCUACUUAUGAAAGCCAAGAUCCUGAUUGUAUGGGCGAGCAGGAUUGAUGGGCUAUCGUCAUGUUCCUUAAAUAGCUCGAAGAUCUUCCUAAUUGAUUCUGUCCAAUAGGUAGAUUGGAAGAAUUCCUUUGGUAAGUGCCAACGGGUAUGAUGGCAUAAAGGAGUAUAUAAUGAAGACGUUUCAGUUGUUCGAGUGUGUGCACGAUAGAAGAAUUCCAAAGUCUGAAGCUCUUUGUUCUUAGUCAAUUAAACUGUUGACCGAAAUCUUGUACACAAAAGAGAGUCUAUACCAUUGAGAGAUCUUGAGGAAGUGUAGUAGAGUCUCUACACUAUGGAAUCAAGGAAGAGCCAAACUGUAACAACUCUUUUGUUCAUAGUGAAAUCCAGCUAGUGGGCUGUCAAUGCGGAAGAUUGGACGUAGGCUUGGAUUAAGCCGAAUCACUAUAAUCUAUGUGUUCAUAUUCUCUUCUCUACAUUCUUUUACUUUGAUCAUAACUAGUUUUAUUUACAAGAAAGAAUUUCCUUUUCAUAAUCUAUUGAUUAACACUGCACAUAUCUCGCAAAAUUGUUUCUGCACCUAUUCACCCCCCCUUUAGGUGCUCAUACUAGCUUUCACAAUUGGUAUCAGAGCCUGUCUACUCACUUGAAUUGAAGUGUUUUACUUCAGAGUUAAAGAUCCAUGGCUAGUAUGUUGGCUCCAGGACUAGUUGAAGGGCAAAGCAAUACCAAACCGCCUUAUUUUGAUGGAAAUGAAUACAACAUAUGGAAAAACAAGAUGAAGGCAUUUCUAAGAUCAAAGGAUCCUCUAGAAUGGAACGUGGUAGAAAAAGGAAUCAUUCCUAAAGCUUCAUCAGUCACAGAAAGAGGAAAAUAAGUCAUUGAGUCUAGCGAAAUGGCUCAAGAAGAGAUAAUCAAGAGAUAAGCUCUUGAUGCAAAAGCUAUUUAUUCUUUAUAUUGUGCAUUAUCACCUACUGAAUAUAACCGAAUAUCUUCUUGUGUUACAACUAAAGAAGUCUGGAAUAGAUUACACAUCACCUAUAAAGGAACUGACCGAGUGAAAAAAACUAGAAUCAACAUUCUGCUCGGACAAUACGAAGCAUUCAAAAUGAAAAUAGGAGAAUCUAUCACUGACAUAUUUAGUCGUUUUACAGAGAUAGUGAAUGGUCUUGAAAAUCAAGGGCAACCAAUUUCUGAUCCCAUGAAAGUAAACAAGCUACUGCAUGGACUCUCCAAGGAUUGGAAUCACAUAAAGAUCUCAAUAAGGGAGACACAAAGAAUCAUGCCACUCUCUAUUAAUGAGUUGAUUGGGACUCUUCAGUCUUAUGAAGUGGAGCGAAUCAACGAAGAUGAAAAUCCUAGAGGUAAGAAAUCCAUUGCAUUAAAAUCUAAUGAUGAUUCUGAUGUCACAGAUUCUAAAGACGAUAUAGAUGAUGAAGAGCUUGCUCUCAUGAUAAGAAUAUUCAGAAAACUAAACAAAAAGGGAAGAAGAUUCAAUCCAAAGAAACAAAGUUUUCAAAAGCAACAAAAUAAGUCUGUUGAGGAUGAUGAAUCCAAUAGAGAUGUAGUCUGCUUUGAAUGUAAGAAAAAAGGACACAUCAGACCCAACUGUCCCAUUUUGAGGAAAAAGAAAGGAAAAACUGAGAAGUAUCGAAAGGCACUCAAAGCAGAAACUUGGAGUGAUACAGAAUGUGAAGAAAGCAAUGAUGAUUAUGCAAAUAUUUGUCUCAUGGCACAAUCAGACUCUGAGACAGACUUAGAUUUAGACAGUGAAAUCGAGGUAAGUAAUUUGAAAAUCCCUACUAAAGUCUCUAGAUACAUUGAUGAAUUGUGUCUUAGUCUUAAAACUUCUCUAAAAGGAUUUCCGAACUUAAAAGAGAAAAUUCUGCACUAAAACAAUAGGAAAAUGUUUUGAAAGAAAAUGUCAAAAGUUUAGACAAAAGUGUUUCUACAUUAAAAGAAAAUGAAGACAAUCUUUCAAAAGAAAAUGCAUUCUUAAAAAAUAAUAUCUCAAAUAUUUCUAAAAGAUUUUUUAUAGGAUCUGAGAAACUUGAGAAAAUUCUUUUAGUACAAAGACCUUACUUCAACAAAUCGGGUUUAGGAAUAACUGUUGAAACCAUUCCUCUAAUUGAUUUUCCUAAAGUAAAAGAAAGAAUUAAGCAAAGACCUACGAGAAAUGCUUACAAAAAUCAUUUCCAUAAAGUGUUUGUAAAACCAGUAGGACGUAGUGCUCUUAAAUGUUUUAAGUGCAAUAGUUCAAAUCAUUUUGAAUAAGAAUGUUCUAUGGUUUGGAAACCUGUUAAGAAGGUAUGGGCAAAGACAGUAUAUCAUACUAACACCAAUGGACCCAAGAAAAUAUGGGUACCAAAGAAAACUUGAGUCUCUUUUCUAAAUGCAGGUCACUAUCAAGAGAAAGAUUAAAUGGUACCCAGAAAGUGGAUGCUCAAGGCAUAUGAUAGGAGAUUCAAAAUGCUUCAUAAAACUUGUUCAAGUUAACGGUAGAAAAGUUUCAUUUGGAGGAAACAGCAAAGGAAGAAUUGUGGGAUACAGAACUGUAAAGAUUGGAAAUCUCACGAUCAAUAAUGUUUCCUUAGUAUAAGGUCUCAACUACAAUUUGCUAAGUAUCAGUCAGCUGUGCGAUACCGGUUUCAAAAUCAAUUUUCAAGAGGGAAUCUGUUCAGGAACCAGUAAAGACUCCUCUUAGUCUUUUAUGGGUCAAAGACAUGGAAAUAUCUAUCUCUUGGAUGUCAAACCAGAUGAAACCCAAUGUCUAAUCUCAAUUCAAGAAGAAGCAAAUUUAUGGCACAGAAAAUUUGGGCACAUCAACAUGAAGCAAAUAGCCAAAAUUUCAGCAAAGAAGCUUGUUCGUGGUUUACCCAAUCUAUCAUGCCAAAAGUCUGAUAUAUGCACACCAUGCGUAUUGGGAAAAUAGGUAAGAAACUCAUUUAAACCAAUAAAUCAAGUUUCUACUAAUCGUGUACUGCAGCUUCUGCAUAUGGAUCUCUUUGGACCAACCAGAACUCAGAGCAUUGGAGGUAAGAAAUACUGUUUAGUGAUUGUGGAUGAUUAUUCAAGAUUCACUUGGGUAUAUUUCCUGGUAAGCAAGUCUGAAAUCUUUUCUUACUUUAAAAAGUUUGCUAAAAAGAUUCAAAAUGAGAAAUGGUAUGUUAUUUCAAGUAUACGGACCGACCACCGAGGUGAAUUUGAAAAUCAAGAUUUUGCUAAGUUCUGUGAUGAAUCUGGUUUUCAGCAUGUAUUCUCUUCUCCAUAUACUCCAGAACAUAAUGGAGUUGUGGAAAGGAAGAAUGGAUCUUUGCAAGAGAUGACUAGAACUCUUUUAAUUGAAAAUAACAUCUCUUCACGUUUUUUGGCUGAAGCAGUUUCAACAGCAUGUUAUAUUAUAAAUAGAGUUUUUCUAAAGCCUAUUUUGGAGAAAACUCCUAUGAGUUAUUCAAAGGUAAGAAACCCAUUAUUUCAUAUUUUCACGUGUUUGGAUGUAAAUGUUUUAUUUUGAAAAAUGCAAAUGAUCGAGUUGGGAAGUUUGAAGAAAAAUCAGACGAAGGGAUCUUCCUUGGAUAUUCGACCACAAGCAAAGCUUAUAGAGUAUACAACAAAAAGACUCAAUCUGCGAAGGAAUUAAUGAAUGUCAAAUUUCAAGACUCUAUGCAAAGUGAAUCGAUUUAGACUCAUCUUGAAGAAUCUGAACCUACUCUAGACUCUACAAAGUUUAUAUCUCCAGAAGCAGCUCAAACUUCAGAAGACCGGCAACAAAUGAUAGUCGAAGAUUCAAAUGAAGAAAAAGAUCAACAGUCUGACAAAUCAACCAGCAACUGGAAGCAUAAGUCCAGUCAUCCCACAGAUUUGAUUAUCGGCGAUAUUAAUGAAGGAAUUCACACAAGAUCCAAAAGGCGCGAAGAGUCUAGUGCUGUGGCUCUUAUUUCUAAAAUAGAACCCAAAAGUAUAGAAAAAGCUCUAACUGAUGAAAGCUGGAUUAAAGCCAUGCAAAAAGAACUCAGGCAAUUCAGUAUCAAUGAUGUCUGGGAAUUGACUCCUAAACCAAAAGGCAAAUCCAUCAUUGGAGCUAAAUGGGUUUUCAGAAACAAGAUGAACGAGAAGGAAAAGUUGUAAGAAACAAAGCAAGACUCAUGGCCAAGGGAUAUACACAAGAAGAAGGGAUAGACUAUGAUGAGACUUACGCACCAGUAGUAAGGUUAGAAGCAAUUAGAUUAUUACUUACUUUUGCUUGUCAUAAAAAUUUUAGGUUAUUCCAAAUGGACGUCAAAAGUGCUUUCCUAAAUGGAUUUAUCCAAUAGGAAGUCUAUGUGGAACAACCACCCGGUUUUGAAGACUCAAGGAAACCAUACUCUAUUUUCAGACUAAAAAAGGCUCUAUAUGGUCUAAAGCAAGCACUCGAGCUUGGUAUGAUAGACUAAGUAAGUUUUUAAUCCAAAAUGGCUUUGUCAAAGCUAAAGUAGAUACUACAUUGUUUAUCAAAAGAGAAAGCAAAAGUUUUCUACUUGUUCAAAUUUAUGUUGAUAUUAUUUUUGGAUCCUCUAAUGAAAGUCUAUGCAAGAAAUUUUCUAAGUCUAUGUAGGAUGAAUUUGAAAUUAGCAUGAUGGGUGAGCUAAUCUUCUUUCUUGGGCUUCAAGUGAAACAAUUGAAGGAAUGAACUUUUAUUCAUCAAGAAAAAUAUGCCAAUGAACUUGUCAAGAAAUUUGGGCUGGAAAAUUGCAAAAAGACCGACAUACCAAUGUCAAGUUCCUUGAAGCUAGACAAAGAUAAAGGAGGAAAGAAAGUUGACCAGAAGCUAUACAAGAGCAUGAUUGGUUCACUUCUUUAUCUUAUUACUUCUAGACCUGACAUUUUGUUUAGUGUUUGCAUUUGUACCAGAUUUCAAUCAGACCCUAAAGAAUCUCAUCUGAGUGCUGCAAAGCGUAUUAUCAAAUACAUUGCCUCAACCUCAAACAUAGGUCUCUGGUAUCCUAAAGAAUGAGACUUUACUCUUCUUGGAUACUCAGACGUAGACCUAGCCGGAUGCAGAGUUGAUAGAAAGAGCACCUCGAGCACCUGUCAACUACUUGGAAGUAGGACAGUGUCUUGGUUUUCAAGGAAGCAAAGUACAGUAGCUCUUUCUACAGUAGAAGCAAAAUAUGUAGCUCUUGGAAGAAGUUGUUCACAAAUUCUGUGGAUAAAACAACAAUUAAAAGACUUUAGAAUUGAAGAUUCAUGCACUGAAAUCAAAUGCGACAACACCAUCGCAAUCAAUCUCACCAAAAAUCCGAUUCUUCACUCAAGGGCAAAACAUAUAGAGAUUCGACAUCACUUCAUUAGAGAUCAUGUUCAAAAUGGAGAAGUUUCGAUUCAGUUCAUUGACUCAAAGAAUCAACUGGCGAAUAUACUUACAAAGCCUUUGGAGAAAAAUCAAUUUCAAGCUAUUCGUUCCAGACUCAAUAUCCUAAAGUCUGAGGAAGUUCAAACCCAGGACUGAAAGUCUAAAGACACUCAGACUCAGACAAUCAAGAUUUUUGACUGUAAGUUGUUUUUAUUAUCUCUCAGAUCAAAUCCCGAAAAGGUACGAUUAUCUAUUCUUAAUUGAUUGUUGCUAUUUUCAAUUUCCGUGAUUAUUGCAAUUUUUUCCUUUUUGAAAAAGAUGUUACUUUUGAAAUGACAGUUAUCCGAUUUUUAAAAAAGGCAAUUAAUUUUUUAAAAAAGCAUCUUUACAUUUCUUUUACGACGAUCCGUAUGCCUCGCUUCGACUGCCUUAUAUAAUGUCGGUUCCUCUUUGUUUCACUCUCACAAACCCUAAGAGAGUUUCGAUCUUCCAUUUCUAUCCUCUUUUCUUGUUUAAUCUUCGAAAAGUUAUCAUAUUUCUUGGAAAAUAAGCUUGGAAUCUCUCAAAGAUUGUGAAAGAUGUCGUCCCAAAGAAAGUCUUCAAGGAUCGCGAACAGAGGACCACAGCAAAUGCGUGAGGGGCCUACGCACUUUGAUCUCACCGAGGAAGAAGAAUCUCAUCAUCAGUGACAGAGCCCAUAACAUUCUCAGCAGCGUUCGUCUUCUCCUCCUAGACCUUAGAAUGUUUCACAUCAAGAAGAGGAAGAAAUCAUCGAAGACGCAGAACCCGUAAGAACUCUUAAACCUGGCUUCAUUUAUAAGCUUUACCAUGCUUUGAAGAGGGGUGGUACUCCUUUGAACUACAUUGAUGAAUUUUUGAAAGAAAAAGGGUAUCAAAAUGAAACCUAUUUUCUACGCAUAAUGGAACGAUUGGGAAUUGCCCCUGCUGGAUCGGCGGAAGAAGCAUUGGCAAAUAUCACAACUGAUCCACGUGUUAGAGGGCUGAGUCAGCCAUAUGGGAAUGACGAUGAUAGGAUGUACAGUCAGUUUAAACCAAGAAUGGGUGUUGCAACAAAAAUCCGAAGUAAAAGGACAGACUUGUUUCGAUCGGAUGACCACAAGCAACUGUACUCUAAGUUGCUAAAGCGUGGGGUAAUAAACCCUAAAAGUGUGGAUUUUGAUUUUCUUGACUCUGUGAAUGUCAAUCUGCAGGAAAAAUUCACUCUUCUUCAACUCGAACAGUUUUGUUCUGAAUCUACAGAAAGUUAUGCUAAACUUGUUGCUUAUUUCUAUUCAAAUCUAAGUUUCUUGGAUGCAAAUAGAUUUUCUUUUAGCGUUCAAGAUCAGGACUAUGUGGUUGACAUGAAUACAUUGGCUGAUGUGAUUGGGGUUGAAAGAGGGAGAUAUCAACCUAUCAAUGUGUCUAUUGCUCGUGCAACGUUAGAACUUGUUAAGGAUAGAAGAAUGGAAGAAAAGAUUUCCUAUUCGAUGAUGAAUGCAACCAACAUUUUGCUUCACAAGAUUGUGAUUAACUGCCUUAGACCGAAAUCAACUUCAAAAACUGACGUUUCAAACUCGGAGGCAAAGCUGAUGUAUGCCAUCAAUGCUGGUAAAAAAUUCUCUCUUCCACACACCAUUAUGUUUCACAUGUACAAGGCAGUGGUGAAGGACAAGGGUCAACUCCCGUACGCAGCUCUUAUAACCAAGUUAUUCAGACAUUUGAAUAUUCAGCCUCCCCGAAUUCUUUGUGGUCAAGCGUGCGAUCAAAUGGUGGUAGGACUGAAAAUGGUCUCUAAAAUGCAUCUGAAGGAACUCAACAAUGAGUUGGAGAAGUUCAAGGAGAAAACCCCUGUCAAGACUCAUCAAAUCUCUUCGACUGCAAAAAGGAAAGGGAAUGAGCCCAUGGUUGCUCCAUCCAAGAAAAAGAAGAGCUCUCAUCAUUGAGGAUGAUGAGGAUGAUAUCACCUUUUCUACAAUGGCAUUGAAGAACUUGAGUCGUUCUGCACCAGAAUCAACGGAGAGACAGGAAAAAGACACGACUGAAACAGAACAGAGAACUGGAGAAAGUGAAGAUUUUGAGAAAGAAGCAGAGGAGAGAGAUGCACAAGAGGAAAGAAUUGAAGAAGAAGAAGAAGAAGAAGAAGAAGAAGAAGAAGAAGAGAGUAGAAAAAGAACAUGAGGAACACUCUUCUCCACCUAAAGGCAUGGAAAUAGGGGGAGAUCCUGAGAAAAAAAGGAACAUCCUCAAUCCCUGCCACCGGUGAAGGAGUAAGUCGCUCUCCAGCAGAUCCAGCGGACAUCUAUGCCUCACAAUUUCCUGAGGAGGGACACGAUGUUUCAUCGCUCAAUCUAUGUAACAAUGCCGAUUCACCAUCUCCUGCUUAUACACCAUUUGAUUGUGCAGAAGCAAGUACUCAGACUGAUGAUUCAACAGACUUUCACAGAAUUCUUGAUGUUCUUUUGGAGAUGAAAGGUCAAAUCUAUGCUCUGGGAUGCGAACUUCAGAAUAUGCAGAAUGCAGGACAAGCUUCUUCGGUUUCUUUGAAUGAUCAACUCCAAGCCCUUAUUCUUCAAGUUCAGGCAAAUGCUUAGGGUGAAGAAGUAGCGCAACUAAAGGAGGACUUGAAAAAGCUGGAAGGCAUUGUCCAGUCAAUGGGAGAUUUCUAGCUUGUUCAUGUUCCCAAGCCAUCUUAAUUUCAUUCUCUUUCCAUCUCUACCUUUUUAAUGAUGACAAAAAGGGGGAGAGAUGUGCAGAUUUGACUGACUAUUUGGAUUUAAAACUUUUUUGAUUGACUUGAUGUUUAUGUUUGGCUGUUUGGAUUUGGACUGGAUUUGAAAUUGACUGUUUGAACAUUUGUUUAUCUUAAGUAUUAUUGAUAUCUCAUGGCCUUGUUCAUAAGACUAACCUACUUUCUGUGGAUGCAGAUUCUAGUGUUAUUACUAAGCCAUUUAUCUUUGUGAGAUAUCCAUAUUUGCUUGAAGUAAUGUUUUGCAGGUCAAAGUUAUCCAAAUCUGCAGGAAAGUUUUGUCACCAUCAAAAAGGAAGAGAUUGUUGGAGAAAUCUUUCUUGAGUGUUUUGAAGCUGACAAAACGUUUCCAUCAGUCUAGUCUGAAGACUUGCAGACUCUUCCAUCAAAGUCUGAAGACCUUCAGAUUGCCAGACUUAAGACUCAAAGUCUAUCCUCAUUGACAGCUUCUAGUCCGUCGAAUAAAACUUAUCCAGAACUGGAUGUUUCGUCAAGGAUUUAACUUUAUUGACUGGAGAAGAUCUCUUAGCUGGAUAUAGCAUGACGGAAUCCUUUAUUCUAAUCAAGAUUGAUUUGGGAAUCGUGGAUCCGUUGAUUGGCAAAGUAUACUUGGAAGGUUCUACUUAUGAAAACCAAGAUCCUAAUUGUAUGGGCGAGCAGGAUUGAUGGGCUAUCAUCAUGUUCCUUAAAUAGCUCGAAGAUCUUCCUAAUUGAUUCUGUCCAACGGGUAGAUUGGAAGAAUUCAUUUGGUAAGUGCCAACGGGUAUGAUGGCAUAAAGGAGUAUAUAAGGAAGACGUUUCAGUUGUUCGAGUGUGUGCACAAUAGAAGAAUUCCAAAGUCUGAAGCUCUUUGUUCUUAAUCAAUUAAAUUAUUAAGCAAAAUCUUGUACGCAAAAGAGAGUCUAUACCAUUGAGAGACCUUGAGGAAGUGUAGUAGAGUCUCUACACUAUGGAAUGAAGGAAGAGCCUAACUGUAACAACUCUUUUGUUCAUAGUAAAAUCCAACCAGUGGGCCGUCAGUGCGGAAGGGUGGACGUAGGCUUGAGUUAAGCCGAACCACUGUAAUCUCUGUGUUCAUAUUCUCUUCUCUACACUCUUUUACUUUGAUCGUAACUGGUUUUGUUUACAAGAGAGAAUUUCCUUUUCAUAAUCUAUUGAUUAACACUGCACAUAUCUCGCAAAUUGUUUCUGCACCUAUUCACCCCCCCUUUAGGUGCUCAUACUAGCUUUCACAAUGCAUACUCCAUGGCCAUCAAAGUCAAUGUAUGAGAGCCAUGCCAUAUGAUACCAUUUGUGUUCCCUGCUAUCGGCAAUGGACAAGUGGGAGUUGUCCUAUCAUACUGUUCCCUUAAUUAGGGCAAUCCAUGUCCAAAUUCAAUGAAUUUCUUUCUUGCUGCAGUUUUGUAGCUAUCCUAUUUAGCCUUUUUUGUAAAGCUAUUCAGACCCUUCCAAUAAGGCGACACCUGCUUGAAAUUUCAAAUCCGAUUCAGUGGUAUUAUACCAGCCAACUAGCACUUCAAAAACAGCUCAAAACCCUUUUGCCUUGUGGAGAUUCAAUAGGGUAUGGACACUUAGCUAGAGAAUAGAUUGCAACGUAAAAACAAAGAAAGUACUCGCACUUGGAAUUAAAAGCACAGUGAAGAACUACAGGCUACUAUGUAUGAUAGAACUACAGAGGAGAAAGAUCCAGAAAAGAAAAGGAAAUACGGGGGGAAUUCCCUCAACUAAAAAUACACUUUAAUCUCUUCUCUUGUUUGUAAAAGCAAUUUUUGUAAUUCUUUUGAUUUUCUGAUAUUUUUCUAUUUUUCCUUUUCUUUUCUCACUUCUCUUUUCAUUUUUCCCUUUUUCCCUUUGCCAACCAUCCACGAGGCCUAUGUAUGAAUACAAAUAGCUUGUGAAUAGAGACUUGCAUAUUUAUAUUGUAGUCAAGAUUCAAGUUUGAUUUGACUACAUAUAUUUAUAGAUUGCCCUUUCCAACAAAAACCAAAAGCAUUCAAAUCAAAUACGUAACUUCCAAAGCUUUAAGAAGCAUCCUAUAAUUAGAUUAUUGACAUGUUUUUCGAAUAGUUUAAGAAUCACACAAUAUCGGGAACGUAGGUUAAGGGUUUGUGUUGUGGUGCUAUACUCUUAAUAAUCAAAGAUCAUUCUAACUCGCUAGACUCCAACCAAUCUUGUAGCAUCAUACUCAUAAGUACCUACGUAGAGAGAUAAUAGGGAACAAAGUCGCUUGAGAGAGAGAGAGAGAGAGAGAGAGAGAGAGAGAGAGAGAGAGAGAGAGAGAGAGAAUCAGCUACUUAGACGACAAAAUCGGGAGAGCAACUUACACGUAUGGAAACCUAGUCAUAAAAUCGAAUAAUUUCUUUUUUGCAUGCUAGUUUAGGAAAAUGAGCAUAAAAUAGUCAAUUCAGAUUAGAAUGACCUGAUUCCAAAGCAAAAGAAUGGAGACUUGAAGAAUCACAAAUUUUGUAUUUUCAGUUUCCUCAACUAAGCACUGUAGGCUUGUCGAUAUUUUAUGAAAGUGGGCUAAACGGUGGUGGACAAAAUGAAGAAAAGUACAGGAACUUCAAUGGUUGCUUUUCUAGGCCCCCAAGGAAGUUGAAAUAGCAUCAAUUCUUCGAGAUUGAUGGCUGCAACUCUUCAAAGAUGCAAGCUUUAAAAGCCCUGACUCUUCAAGGACAGAGUGGAGACUCUUCUAGGUUUUCAAGGGAUUUGAACUCUUUAAGGUUCUAGAGAGUUACACUAAGCAAAUUUCAUUAAUGAAAUUCGGUCUAUAAUUUAUAGAGACUCAUUGACCUUUUAUAUCAAAACAAAAGAAGAGUAAGAGGCUAGACUCAAACAUAGAAACUAAUAGUCAUUAAUGUACGUAGAAACUAGAAGCUAUUAAAAUUGAAACAUAUUUACCAAUGCUUUUGCUCGCCCCAAAGUGCCUUGAUGCAAGUUUUAAUGUUUGAGAAAUGACAAAAUGACAAAAUAGAGUGUCAUUGAUAUUGAAUGCACACUAAUCUUCUUGGUUGAACAAGUUGGUCUUGAAUAUGGGCUACAUCAAAGAGAGAGAGAGAGAGAGAAAUGAGCUAUUUCCCUCCAAUGAUGAUAAUUUUAUUGAUAACUUCUAUAUGAUGUAAGAGAUAUAACUUUUGUGGAAUUAAAGACACUUUAUUGAACCUUUUUCAGGAUAUAUAAAUGGGUUAGCCAUCAUAUAUUGUUGGGAUAAGUGUUAGCCAUCAUAUAUUGUUGGGAUAAGUGUUAAAAAAAGUCAUAAACCUUUUGUAUUUGUGUCAAUUUAGUCCUAAACCUUUUUUUGGUGCCAAUUUAGUCCUAAACAUUUUUACUUAGUGCCGAUUUAGUCAUUUCCGACCAAUUUUCACAGGAUUUUGCUGACCAGAUGCCAAUCGGCUGACAUGGCCUGAUCGGUGCUGACGUGGACAACUUUUAAUAAUAUUUUAAUAUUUUAAUAUUUUUUAUUUUCUUUUAUUUUCUUUUUUUCUUUUUUUCUUUUUUCUUCUCCCCCUCCAACCGAUCGCCAGACCUCGGCGACUAGCCAGAGGCAACGGUCAGCGAGGUCAACCUCAUUGGCCACCUCGCCAGUGGCCACAAGGGCGGCCUCGCACUGCGGCCUCGCGCUAGGCGACGAGGCUCACCCUCACCCAAUCUGACAAGGGUGGAGCCUCACUAGCCAUGGGGUCGAGCCUCGCCCAUGGCCAAUGAGGCUCAACCUUGCCAGCGUCGCCCAGAUCCGAUGAGGGUGAGCCUCGUCAGCAAUGCCUAGGCCACGAUUUGGCGAGGUCGAGCCUCGCCAGCCUAGCGCUAGGUCGCAAGAUCUGGCGAGGUCGGCCUCGCCAGGCGUCGCCUCUGGCCAUUCGCCAAGGUCUGGCGACUGGCUGGAGGAGGGGAAGGAAAAAAUAAAAUAAAAAUACAAAUAAAAAUAAACAUAAAAUUUAAAAAUAUAAAAAUAUUAUUAAAAGUUGUCCACGUCAGCACUGAUAAGGCCACAUCAGCCGGCCGGCGUUCAAUCAGCAAAAUUGGCUAGAAAGCACUAAAUCGGCACUAAGUAAAAAGGUUUAUGACUAAAUUGAUACAAAUACAAAAGGUUUAUGACUUUUUAAACACUUUUCCCUAUAUCGCUUCAUUUGGGACAAUAUACUUUAUUAAUUAUGUUAUGAGUUCAUUUCAAAUGAAUUGCAGUUAAUUGACUCAGCCAUAUUUGGAAGAACUAACUUGGAAAAAAUCACGAAAAUGGACGUGUCCUCAUCGGAGGACUCAAAACAGCAAUUCUAAGAAACUCUUAUAUACUUUUAUGUCAUGUACAGCUUUUUUACGUAUUUUUUUGAAUUAUAAUUAUAUAUAACAUUGCGAUAAGUGAUUUUUUUGAAUUUGACGCCAUCGCGUUCUAGUUAAUUGACAAUGACUAACCGGGUGUGGAUCCAUCGUAUGCGGAGACUGUGUGCUAAUGGGUUUUGGAAAAUAAUAUUCAAUAUAAUCACCGUACCUAAAACAAUAUGUGGAAAUGUAAACGCAAGGAAUCAGAUCAUCAGAACACCCAAGAUACAACCUGUACAAGACAAAGCCCGAACCCAUGCUCAUCCUCUCAGGGAAGCAUUCACAAGCAGCAGAAUUCAAGAUUCAAGAACCACCCUCCGCAAAUGUACAGCGUGUCAGCGACUAUUGAAGGCAGUCUCUAAGGAAAUACAAUUACAUAAACAAGGCAGAUAGCAGCAAAAAGAGACGGAGAUCCUCCAUGGUUUAGAAGUGAUGGUGGUGCUUCUUGCCAUGAUGAGACUCUUUAUCUUUUUUCUUGGCCUCCUUCCUCUCGUGGUGCUCGUGGAAGGCGAACCCGACAGCCCCGACGGCAGCGGCGGCAGCUAUUUCCUCCUCUAUCUUGUGCCGGUGAGCGUGCUCCGGGUCCUUCUUGGCCUUAUGCUUCUCAUGCUGCAUUUUGCACAUCAUUAAUCAGGAAUUGCGUGCACGAAACAAAAUGAGUUAAGGUAAAGAGGAAAGGAGCAAAAAAAAAAAAAAGUUCUCUAUUAUGUAUACUUUUUUUAUACCAGCUCUGAGCAUGGGAUAAGUUCGAGAAAAAAAAAAUUAUUCACUUUGAAAAGAAGCAUUUGAUCCUGUGAAUAGUGCUAUGGAUUACAAGUUUUUGUUUAAGCCAAUUGUAGGGAAAUCUUAUUCCUCUAGCUGAUGGGUGAAGGAAAUCAAUUAAAUUCAAACUAUUAUUCAUUUAUAAGGAUCAUCCAUUCUCGCAUGGCAUGCCAUUAUUAUGUCGAGUUGAAAUAUGUGAGUUUAAUCGAGAUCUUUUGCAUCCAAUGCUCAUGAAUAACCUGAUGAUUCAGGUCAAUAAGGUGAAGACGUGAAUUGUAUCUAAAUUAUAAAAUGGGAAAAGAAUUGAAAAGAAGAUGAAAAUUAUUACCAAGGCAUAAGCACCGGCAGCGACGGCACCGAGCUCGCCGAGCUGCUGGAGGUGCUUGUGGUGCUUCUCCUCCUUCCUGUAAUUGACCGUAGGCUCCAUGAAGGCAUCAUCCUUCUUGUGGUGGCUGCGGUGGUGGUGGUGGUGAUGGUGGUGUCCUUCGGCCAUGGUUGGAGGUUGUUUUUUUUUUUUUUGACGAAUACUAGAAUUGACGAAGGAUCAGGGAAAGGACUAUAGCUGAAUUGUAUGGUAUGCGUUGUGAGACCGUUCGAGAGGGAGGGAAGUAUUAAUAGGGAAAGUUGGCACAUGAAAAGUCUCGCACCCAAUCGGGCCAACGCGGGAGGCCUUAAACGCGUGAUGGAUGGUCGGGAUUGCUUAGUCUGGUUCUGCUCGAUGCAUUUUUGUCUUUUUUCGAUGGGUUGGGGGGGAGGGGGAGAGGGGGGGGGCGGGUGUUUCUAGUUGAGGGAUUUUUGGGAGGACAAAUUCAUUAGAGAACAAUGCUAUAACAAUACCAUAUACUUGACAAUGAUGUUUUUAUCGUUUCCCUUUGAUUUGUCUGAUGAUAAUUUCUUAGUCUUGAGCUUGAAUUGCAAGAUUUGUUUAAAAAUGUAAUUGUAGGGGUCUAAAGUCUAAGAUGAAACUUUCUGGUGGAGGGGGUGGUUUUAACUUAUCGAUUAAUUAAUUGCAUCGCAUGAAUGUGCUCUAUGGGUUGUCCCGUAGUUUCAUACCGACUCAUUUUUGCAAAAGUGAUCAUCUCCUUUUAGAUGCUUUAAGAAUAAGAGAAUAUGUUAAUUUUUCCAUCACCAAACUUCCAUUUUUUUUUUUUUGCUUUUCCUGCUAUACUCUUAAAUUGUUUGUAAGGCAUGGCAUUAUAUCCCUAUUAAUUUUCAAGGGACGAAACCUGAAUUUAAUUAGAUAGCAGAACUAGUUCGUAUAUGCUCCAUCAAUGCAUUUGCUGAUGCCUUUGUCUACUUAUAAAAACAUGUGGAAUAGUUGGAAAAACAAAUGCUCCUAGUGUAUGUAAUGACAUUCCAUGAUCUUGAGGCACGAUGGAUAGUCUCGUUCUGAUUCUACUUGACAGACAAAGCUAAAUCAACUCAGAUUUUUAUUUGUGCCAUAUGACACCUCGGGGAUGGUUAGUAGCUCCCUUGAAUGUGAACAAUUUUAUACCCUUUCUUCUUGAGAUUAUUAGAUGCUGGUGCCAUUGACUUUAUUUUAGUUAUUUAAUUUAGUGGAACCCCUUCAUUUAGAAUUGGCUGACGUGCCUAUAUACAUAUAAAAUCAAUGGGGUAGAUAUUAUUUGGUGUUGAUUAGAAGGUAGACAUCAAUAAAACAUAUAUAAAUGAAUAAAUAAGUAAAAUUAAAAAUCCAAGGACUACAUCACCCAUUGCACAUUAUCCAAAGCAUCCAAGUGCUAACACUCUUUGCCUAUGGCAUGAAAGCAGACUGUACAUCUUUAUUUCCAGUGAUAAAUAUCAAAGCUCGUUUGAGGUGAUGCCCUUUUUGGCCUUGGUUCUCUCGUACUUUGAAUGCAUGUCUCCACCCAUAUAUACUUUGAAAAACAACCACAUCAGUUAUGAUUUGAAGAACAUUCUCUUCUUUGACUUUCCAUUGUUUCAAUAGGAUUCCAAACAACAUUCCCUGCGACCAAAAUCAAGACUAGGCAUGUUCUAACUAGGUUGGCAAGACCAAUAAAAAAAACCAAGAAAGAACCGAAAUUCAAGCGCAGCCUGAAGAUCUCCGGAAGCUUCGAAGGCGGCCAUGGAGGAAAGGCAAUUGGCUAUGGCUCGCUCAGCAGCUCGGGCAGCUUCUUCAUUAAGAAAGAUCUCGACCUCGAAACGCCCCAAAGCGACUGGUCCCAUUAUUGCCGGCGCUGAAUUGCCGGUGUCUCGAGAUGCUCUAAUAUGGUCGUAUGAUGCAUGGUUGAAAGCUCGACAUGUAUAGCUUCGAUGAAUCAAGUUUUCCUGCAAUUUGGAAGUCCUUUGAAGGAAAUUAUACUCGAAGUACUAAGAGGAGGAAAUCUGGGAUAUUGUUAAGUUUCACUAGAGUACGAUGCAGGCCACGCGGGUGGUAUGGCUAGGCACGAGCAGGCUAUCGACACUCAUGGUUGGGCUGGCGGGCCAGCCAUGUCGCGGGCUGGUUGCAUGAAUUAUGGGCAUGAAUGCUACUAUUAUCUUUUCGUACUGAAAUACAAAGAUGAUGAUUUCAAAUUCUUGUUUCAAAUCAAUUUUACAAAGUACAGUCACCAUUAUGAAAAAAAAAAUCAUCUAAAAGGUCAUAAAUCUAUUACAUUUUAACCAAUUCAAUUAUAAUCCUUUCAAUUGCGUCAAUUGAGUCCUAAACAUUUUCACGUGUUACCAAUUGAGUUUUACCUGACUAAGUUUAAUUGGAAAUCAUUGAUGUGGAUGCCAGUAGUACUACAUAGGACUGUUGGGAAUAAUGUGACCAAUUUUUUUAUGAUUUUUCUUCUUUUUUUAUUUUUUUUUAUUUUUUUUUCUUACUAAGUCCAACAAGGAUUGCCAGCUAAUCCUUGCGAGCUGAAAGGCAAGGGCUGGGCGACCCUUGUUGGCGACUAGGUGAAGGCCACGAUGAUUGAGGCUUCAUGGCUCGCAAGGGUUGGCCAGCAGCUCUUUUGCUUGGCUUGGAAGGAAAAAAGAAAGAAAGAAAGCUGAUCAAUUAAUACAUAUACAUGGAUGCCGUGUGUGCAUUAUGCAAAACCAAGAGACUGCUUAGUUUGAUGUUCACCAAAUUAGUCAUAUUUAAAUUUCUUUUUCACCAAAAUAAAAGAACCUUCCAAUAUCUUACAACAACUUUGCAAAGAUUUGAGAUGACGUGUGGUGGCAUGAAGACUUUACUAAAAAAAUCAAACGCGUUUUGACAUAACAAUUCCAUGUCUUUGUGUCUUCUAUGGUUUUAUCAGGGGCACAUAUGGCCCAGUGCACUCCUCCUGAAGUCGCGUGUCGGUUUUUGGUGCCUUCGCGUUCGCCCCUAAAAUGCAUACUCGGAUGACGGCGGGUCUUCGCCGCGUCGGCGACUUCGUCUUUGUCAACAAAACCAAAAUGAACGCUCCGACGAUGGCGUGUCUUCGCCUCGUUCGCCUUAACGCGUCGUCCAUGCCGUGUGAUAAUGCUCUCACCGUCACGAGAAUUCAGCCAGCAUCGACUUCUUCACAUAAUCCCAAGAUGCAGCAGCGUGACACGACGAAAUCCUUGCGUGGAGCAGCCUUGUCCGGCAUUGCAUAGCUAGAGUACCGCCUGACGCACACGUCGAAACGGAAUCUAAUGGGAUCUACACAUAAGAAAAUGUUCGAUUAUCUGUCGCAUCCUCACGGGAGAAGACUAAAUCCGAUCAAGCCAUGAGAGUCUAGAGUUUAUGUAGCUACGCAAAAUUGCAAGAUUUUGAAAUACAAAGCUCUUUUUCCAUGACCUAAUGAUAGAGUUGUCUUGCGUAGAGAGGCACAUGGCCUGUUGUCACGUCAGCGAUCUCCGAUGAAAAAUCAAAAGGAUUAUAUUAAAAUUUCCUGUAAAGACUUAGGAUUACAAUAGCAAAAAUUCAAAAGUUUUAGAACUGAUUUGACUUCUGUACAAAAUAUUUAGGUGUAAUAAGUAAUUUUCUAGGUUCAUUUGAGACAAAUUGAUGGUUAUAAUUGUAAUUGGUCAUUAGCAACAUAUCAAUCCGACGAGUUAAGGAAAGGAGAAUUUUGAGACGAAAAUGGAGAUUAAUCGGAGGAGGAAAAUUCCUUUUUUGGGCUUUUGGAGGCCCACUGGCAAAGCCCUGCUGGCCCAACGGCCACCGGUCAAGUAGAUGGGCCCAGAGUUUGGGCCUUCGGGCCCAUAUAAUUCGAUUAGGGCCAAGCCUUUUACCAGGCCAUCUCGAGAGAAGAUGGGCCUGAUCGACAUAGCCCAACCCACCUUAGCCCAAUUGCCACUCCUUCCUCAUUAUGUAAGUCGAUAUAUUAGGUAAGCACCAAAUCAUCUAAUUAAGUGAAAAUUCAACCAUUAACUUUAUUUUUAUUUUUUUUGGCUGAAGUUUUUGGAUCUAUAUUAUUAAACCCAAAGUGUCAUUUAUAUUCCUACGAGAAUCCCUCCAAGGCCCGUAGUUUGGGCCUUAAGGCCCAAAUAAGUUGAUUUUGUCGGGCCUACCCAGCCCAGCCCAAUUGUCACUGCCUCCUCAUUAUGUAAGUCGAUAUAUUAGGUAAGCACGGAAUCACCUAAUUCAAUGAAAAUCCAACCAUUAACUUUAUUACUCUUUUUUUUUAGGGGGGGGGGGGGGGGGGCUUGAAGUUAUUGGAUCUAUAUUAUUAAACCCGAAUUGUCAUUUGUAUUCCUACGAGAAUCCCUUCGCAGCCAGGAGUUUGGGCCUUAGGGCCCAAAUAAGUUGAUUGUGCCAACCCGACCAAGCCCAACCCAAUUGCCACCCUUCCUCAUUAUGUAAUCGAUAUAUUAGGUAUGAGUGGAAUAAUCCAAUUUAGUAAAAAUUUAACCAUUAACUUUAUUUUAUUUUUUGCUAAAUUUUUUGGAUCUAUAUUAUUAAACCCGAAUUGUCAUUUAUAUUCCUACGAGAAUCCCUCUGCAGCCCGGAGUUUGGGCCUUAGGGCCCAAAUAAGUUGAUUGUGCCAACCCGACCAAGCCCAACCCCCUUCGUCAUUAUGUAGUCGACAUAUUAGGUAUGAGUGGAAUAAUCCAAUUUAGUAAAAAUUUAACCAUUAACUUUAUUUUAUUUUUUGCUAAAUUUUUUGGAUCUAGAUUUUUAAACCAAAAGUGUCAAAUAUUAUUUAUAUAUUGAAAUAUAUUUUAAUUUUGUUAAUUUUUUUGGUUGAAUAAUUUUAAGUUUGUUAAUUAUGUUAAUUUAAGAAGUUUAGUUUCCAAUAAAAAUAAUUUUCUUAAUAUGAAUAUUAGAAAUCAUAUUUACCUUUAUUCCACCCUCCCAUGAAAUAACUUUGUCCGGUUUAUAUCCCUAUUAUAUCUAACUUUAUCCUAUUUUGAGCAUGCAUCAAACAAAGAAUAAGAUAAAUUUUAUCAUAUCUUGAAUUUUAUCAUGACUGUCAAAUGCAAUCAAGGUUUUCUAUCUAUUGUAUUUUUUGCAUCAAAUUCUUAGUGGUAGGUCUCAUUAACGCUUUUCCGAGAUUCGCUUGAGGCACAUUUGUAACACAUGUUAAUUGUGUAGCUAUUAAUGUUAUGUUGAUGACGUUUUCUACGAGGCAACUUCAAGCAUAACUUGCUUUUUGGUUACAUGGUCCUUUCCAAUUUGCCCUUAUUUGUUUCAUUCUUUUUGUUAAUCAUCGUGUUAAAUCUUGAUUUGUUUUAACAAAUUUGACAGAUAAAGAGCCUCUUGGGAACAAAGGCUGAGUGGAUGUACUAUAUUCUCAAGGCAUUUAAUGCUGGUGAUUUGCAACGCUAUUGACAACUAUGUCAUGUACACAAGGCUACUCUCAAUGCACAACCUGGUUUGGUCGAAAAUGACAAAACUAUUGGAGAAAAUCAACAUUCUCUGCCUAGUGGAAAUCAUAUUCAGGUCUCACUUUCAAUUCUUUUCUUAUCUCCAUUUCUGUCAUACUUAUUUUUUCACAUUUUGCAUUAUAACUGUGUAUUCCUCCACAUAUAAAAUAUACAAUCUUAUCCUACAGCCAUGCAUCAGAAGAUAGGACAAUUCCACCCAGCGUUAUUGAUGAAAGCCCAAAGUCUUUUGUGUAGCUCAUGUUGAGCACCUUCUCAUGAAGAGCCUUUCUGUAAGUUUUCCUGAUUCUUUUGUAUUUCCCUUGGUGGUUGUGUCGUGCUGUUUUCUAUGACAUUGGAUGAGUAGAUUGGACGUCAUCAUUAUUCUGGCUGUGUGUAUAUGAUCCUUCUCUAGUUUAGAGUUCAUUUGGUUAUAGUUUGACUUAGCCUUAUGGUGCAGCUGUAUACACGAAGCUUGAAGACAGAAUGAACUUCAUCUGGAUAGAUUAGUGGUUUAGAUGUUUCAAAAAAUGAAUAAUUGAUAGUCAUACGGAUGGGUGGAAGCUUUAUACCUAAUUAAGAGAGCAUAAAAGAACCACUCUUUUUUCUCCUUGGUCUGAUCCCACAAACACAUGGGCAGUGAAAAACUUUUGUUCUUCGCUAUUUCUCUUCAAUUCUGGUUAAUCUCAAAGUCCAAGUAGAGGGAACAGUGCAUGUUUCCUGGGUCCAACCAAGAGUUCUAGGCAUUCUGCAAUUUAAAUCCGUGUGAGAUCAGUUGGAUGGUUGGCUGGACAAAGUACACACUGCUUUUCUAUCCGUUGAAGCAGAAACACCUGAUCUCGUCACUGUGUAAUCUUAUGUUGCUUUCACCUCCGCCAAUUGUAACAUCCCUUCACUAAGUUUGCCGACCAAAGCGAAAGGAGGUGAAAGAAAAAGAGACAAGUGCGAGGCAGUUGGGCAUUUUGUCCAUACCUGGACUUCUUUCUGUGUCUCUAAGUUUUCUUCAAUCAUUUUUUGUUGCAAGUGGCUGUCUCGUGCGCUUCAGGGGAAUGUUUUCAGCAGUCGAUUAGAGACUUAUUUAUUAGGUUAAAGAUGAUCAUUUACUGACUAAAGACAGACAUCAGAAUGUGCGAGAAGAAUCUCAUUCGAUAUUCCUAAUAUGAUUUGCGUCAUGUAUGAAUUGCUUAUUAUAAAUUCAAAUGAACAUGAAAUUCAUUGUGCCAAUUGUCUCACUCCCGCGUGCGUGCACUCGCAUUGCUGGUACUUCUUAGGGCAUAUGAUGCCACUAUAUAUAUAUAUAUGCAUGCUCCAUGGCCUUGAGUUCUUCACGGUUGACAACGGUUCUCACUCUUGUGCGCGCACAUAAUGCUCGUGCUUCUUAUGGCAUAUAUGGGUGGACACUGUACAUAUCUGCAUACUCCAUGGCCAGCAAAGUCGAUGUAUGAGAGCCAUGCCAUAUGAUACCAUUUGCAUUCCCCGCUAUCGGCAAUGGACAAGUGGGAGUUGUCCUAUCAUAUUGUUCCCUUAAUUAGGGCAAUUCGUGUCUCAAAUUCGAUGAAUUUCUUUCUUGCUGCAGUUUUGUAGCUAUCCUAUUUAGCAUUUUUUUUUUAAAGCUAUUCAUACCCUUCCAAUAAGGCGACACCUACUUGAAAUUUCAGAUCUGAUUCAGUGGUAUUAUACCAGCCAACUAGCACUUCAAAAACUGCUCAAAACCCUUUUGCCUUGUGGAGAUUCAAUAGGGUAUGGACACUUAGCUAGAGAAUAGAUUGCAACGCAAACACAACGAAAUUACUCGCACUUGGAAUUAAAAGCAUAGUGAAGAACUAUAGGCUACUAUGUAGAUAGAACUACAGAGGAGAAAGAUCCAGAAAAGAAAAGGAAAUAGGGGGAAUUCCCUUAACUAAAAAUACACUUUAAUCUCCUCUUUUUUGUAAAAGCAAUUUUUGUAAUUCUUUUGAUUUUAUGAUAUUUUUCUAUUUUUCAUUUUCUUUUCUCUCUUCUCUUUUCAUUUUUCCCUUUUUCCAUUUGCCAACCAUCCACGAGGCCUAUGUAUGAAUACAAAUAGCUCGUGAAUAGAGACCUGCAUAUUUAAAUUGUAGUCAAGAUUGAAGUUUGAUUUGACUAUAUAUAUUUAUAGAUUGCCCUUUCCAACCAAAACCAAAAACACUCAAAUCAAAUACGUAACUUCCAAACCUUUAAGAAACAUCUUAUGAGUAGAUUAUUGACAUGUUUUCGAAUAGUUUAAGAAUCACAUAGGUUAAGGGUUUGUGUUGUGGUGCUAUACUCUCAAUAAUCAAAGAUCAUUCUAACUUGCUAGACUCCGACCAAUCUCAUAGCAUCACACUCAUAAGUACCUAUGUAGAGAGAUAUUAGGGAACAAAGUCGCUUGAGAGAGAGAGAGAGAGAGAGAGAGAGAGAGAGAGAGUAUCGGCUACUUAGACGAUAGAAUCGGGAGAGUGACUUACACAUAUGGAAACUUGGUCAUAAAAUCGAAUAAUUAUUUUUUUUCCAUGCUAGUUCAAGAAAAUGAGCAUAAAAUAGUGGAUUUAGUUCAAAAUGACCUGAUUCCAAAGCAAAAGAAUGGAGACUCGAAGAAUCACAAAUUUUGUGUUUUCAGUUUCCUCAACUAAGCACUGUAGGCUUGUUGAUAUUUUAUGAAAGUGGGCUAAACGGUGGUGGACAAAAUGAAAAAAAGAUACAGGAACUUCAAUGGUUGCUUUUCUAGGCCCCCGAGGAAGUUGAAAUAGCAUCAAUUCUUCGAGAUUGAUGGCUGCAACUCUUCAAAGAUGCAGGCUUCAAAAGCCCUGACUCUUCAAGGACAGAGUGGAAACUCUUCUAGGUUUUCAAGGAAUUUGAACUCUUUAAGGUUCUGGAGAGUUACACUAAGCAAAUUUCAUGAAUGAAAUUUGGUCUAUAAUUUAUAGAGACUCAUUGACCUUUUAUAUCAAAACAAAAGAAGAGUAAGAGGCUAGACUCAAACAUAGAAACUAAUAGUCAUUAAUGUACGUAGAAACUAGAAGCUAUUAAAAUUGAAACAAUAUUUACCAAUGAUUUUGCUCGCCCCAAAGUGCCUUGAUGCAAGUUUUAAUGUUUGAGAAAUGACAAAGUCUUUAUGACAAAACAGAGUGUCAUUGAUAUUGAAUGCAUGCUAAUCUUCUUGGUUGAACAAGUUGGUCCUGAAUAUUGGCUACAUCAAAGAGAGAGAGAGAGAGAGAGAGAGAGAGAGAGAGAGAGAGAGAGAGAGAGAGAGAGAGAGAGAAAGGAGCUAUUUCCCUCCAAUGAUGAUAAUUCUAUUGACAACUCCUAUAUGAUGUAAGAGAUAUAACUUUUGGGGAAUUAAAGACACUUUAUUGAACCUUUUUCAGGAUAUAUAAAUGGGUUAGCCAUCAUAUAUUGUUGGGAAAAGUGUUAAAAAAAGUCCUAAACCUUUUGUAUUUAUGUCAAUUUAGUUCUAAACCUUUUUUGGUGCCAAUUUAGUCCUAAACCUUUUUACUUAGUGCCGAUUCAGUCAUUUUCGACCAAUUUUCGCCAGAUCUUGCUAACUAGACGCUGAUUGGCUAACAUGGCCUGAUUGGUGCUGAUGUUGACAACUUUUAAUAAUAUUUUAAUUUUUUUUUUUCUUUUUUUUUUCUUUCCCUUCCUCUAACCUGUCGCCAGACCUUGGCGACUAGCCAAAGGCAACUGUUAGCGAGGUCAACCUCACUAGCCACCUUGCCAGAUUUGGCAAGGGUGGAGCCUCACUGGCCAUGGGGUCGAGCCUCACCCAUGGCCAGCGAAGCUCGACCUCGCCAGCGCCACCCAAAUUCGGCGAGGGUGUGCCUCACCGCACUGCCCAGGCCGCAAUUUGGCGAGGUCGAGCCUCGCCAGCCCGACGCUAGGUCGAAAGAUCUGGCGAGGUCUAGCGAGGUCGACCUCGCCGGUCGUCGGCUCUGGCCAUUCGCCGAGGUCUGGCGAUUGGCUGAAGGAGGGGAAUGAAAAAAGAAAAAUAAAAAGAAAAAUAAAAAUAUUCAAAAAUAUUAAAAUAUUGUUAAAAAUUGUCAACGUCAGCACUGAUCAGGCAACGUCAGCCAGCCGGUGUUCAAUCAAUAAAAUCCGGCCAAAUUUAGCCGGAAAGGACUGAAUCGGCACUAAGUAAAAAUGUUUAUGACUAAAUUGGCACAAAUACAAAAUGUUUAUGACUUUUUAAACACUUUUCCCUACAUCGCUUCAUCUAGGACAAUAUAGAUUAUUAAUUAUGUCAUUUUGUGAGUUCAUUUCAAACUGAAUCGCAGUUAAUUGACUCAGCCAUAUUUAAAAGAACUAACUUGGAAAAAAUAACGAAAAUGGACGUGUCCUCAUCGGAGGACUCAAAGCAGCAAUUCUAAGAAACUCUUAUAUACUUUUAUGUCAUGUACAGCCUUUUUACGUAUUUUUUGAAUUAUAAUUAUAUAUAACAUUGCGAUCAAGUGAUUUUUCUGAAUUUGACGCCAUCGCGUUUUAGUUAAUUGACAUUGACUAACCGGUGUGGAUCCAUCCUAUGCGAAGACUAUGUGCUAACUGGUUUUGGAAAGUAAUAUUCAAUAUAAUCAUUGUACCUAAAACAAUAUGUGGAAAUGUAAACGCAAGAACCACCCUCCGCAAAUGUACAGCGACUAUUGAAGGCAGUCUCUAAGGAAAUAAAAUUACAUAAACAAGGCAGAUAGCAGCAAAAAGAGACGGAGAUCUUCCAUGGUUUAGAAGUGAUGGUGGUGCUUCUUGCCAUGAUGAGACUCUUUAUCUUUUUUCUUGGCCUCCUUCCUCUCGUGGUGCUCGUGGAAGGCGAACCCGACAGCCCCGACGGCAGCGGCGGCAGCUAUUUCCUCCUCUAUCUUGUGCCGGUGAGCGUGCUCCGGGUCCUUCUUGGCCUUAUGCUUCUCAUGCUGCAUUUUGCACAUCAUUAAUCAGGAAUUGCGUGCACGAAACAAAAUGAGUUAAGGUAAAGAGGAAAAAAAGAGUUCUCUAUUAUGUCUACUUUUUUUUAUACAAGCUCUGAGCAUGGGAUAAGUUCGAGAAAAAAAUUUAAUUUAUUCACUUUGAAAAGAAGUAUUUAAUCAUGUAAAUAGUGCUAUGGAUUACAACUAUGUUUUUUUGUUUAAGCCGGAAAUCUUAUUCCUCUAGCUAAUGGGUGAAGGAAAUCAAUUAAAUUCAAACUAUUAUUCAUUUAUAAGGAUCAUCCAUUCUCGCAUGGCAUGCCAUUAUCAUGUCGAGUUGAAAUAUGUGAGUUUAAUCGAGAUAUUUUGCAUCCAAUACUCGUGAAUAACCUGAUGAUUCAGGUCAAUAAGGUGAAAAUGCAAAUUUUAUCUAAAUUAUAAAAUGGGAAAAGAAUUGAAAAGAAGAUGAUAAUUAUUACCAAGGCAUAAGCACCGGCAGCGACGGCACCGAGCUCACCAAGCUGCUGGAGGUGCUUGUGGUGCUUCUCCUCCUUCCUGUAAUCAACCGUAGGCUCCGUGAAGACGACCCCAGGCUCUGUGAAGGCAUCAUCCUUCUUGUGGUGGCUGCGGUGGUGGUGGUGGUGAUGGUGGUGUCCUUCGGCCAUGGUUGGAGGUUUUUUUUUUUUUAGGAAUACUAGAAUUGACGAAGGAUCAG